GAGCCUGAGGGAGGGGUCGGCCUGCGGGUAGCCAGAGGCUGGGACGGCUGUGGAGCCUGGGGUGGGAGAGGGAGUGUGGGGCAGCUAAAAGGUGAGCCGAGCCGACGGAGGGGACGCGCUGUGGGGCGCCCCCAGUCUAUGGAGCGGGGUAAGAUGGCGGAGGCGGAGAGUCUGGAGACAGCAGCAGAGCACGAGCGGAUCCUGCGAGAGAUCGAGAGCACUGACACGGCCUGCAUCGGGCCCACGCUCAGGUCUGUCUAUGAUGGUGAGGAACAUGGACGUUUCAUGGAGAAGCUUGAAACUCGUAUCCGUAAUCAUGACCGAGAAAUUGAGAAAAUGUGCAACUUUCAUUACCAGGGCUUUGUGGACUCUAUAACUGAACUGCUAAAAGUGAGAGGAGAAGCCCAGAAACUCAAAAAUCAAGUGACGGAUACUAAUAGAAAACUACAACAUGAGGGAAAGGAACUGGUAAUAGCAAUGGAAGAGCUGAAGCAGUGUCGACUACAACAGAGAAAUAUUUCUGCCACUGUUGAUAAAUUAAUGCUGUGUCUUCCAGUCCUAGAGAUGUACAGCAAACUGAGGGACCAGAUGAAAACUAAACGGCAUUAUCCUGCACUGAAAACUCUGGAACAUCUAGAGCAUACCUACCUUCCUCAAGUAAGCCACUAUCGAUUCUGCAAGGUGAUGGUGGACAACAUCCCCAAGCUUCGAGAAGAAAUAAAAGAUGUUUCUAUGUCUGAUCUCAAAGACUUUCUGGAGAGCAUCCGCAAACAUUCAGACAAAAUUGGAGAGACUGCCAUGAAGCAAGCCCAACAACAAAGAAACCUGGAUAACAUCGUCUUGCAACAACCCAGAAUAGGUAGCAAGAGGAAAUCUAAGAAAGAUACAUAUAUAAUCUUUGAUACAGAGAUAGAAAGUACUAGUCCCAAGUCUGAACAGGAUUCAGGAAUUCUGGAUGUUGAAGACGAGGAAGACGAUGAAGAGGUACCCGGGGCCCAAGAUUUGGUGGAUUUUUCUCCAGUUUAUCGAUGUCUACACAUAUACUCUGUCCUGGGUGCCCGGGAAACAUUUGAGAAUUACUACCGAAAACAGAGGCGAAAACAGGCUCGUUUGGUACUUCAACCUCCGUCUAACAUGCAUGAAACGUUAGACGGCUACAGGAAGUAUUUUAAUCAAAUUGUAGGCUUUUUUGUGGUUGAAGAUCACAUUUUACAUACAACGCAGGGCUUAGUUAAUAGAGCCUACAUUGAUGAACUGUGGGAAAUGGCACUUUCAAAAACCAUCGCAGCACUCCGUACCCACUCGUCUUACUGCUCUGAUCCAAACCUUGUGUUAGAUUUGAAGAACCUCAUUGUGCUUUUUGCUGACACACUUCAGGUGUAUGGUUUCCCUGUAAAUCAGCUUUUUGACAUGCUGUUAGAAAUCAGAGACCAAUAUAGUGAGACUCUGCUAAAGAAGUGGGCAGGUAUUUUCAGAAACAUACUUGAUUCUGACAACUACAGUCCUAUACCAGUAACAAGUGAAGAGGUGUACAAAAAGGUAGUAGGACAAUUCCCAUUUCAAGAUAUAGAACUGGAAAAGCAGUCAUUUCCAAAAAAGUUUCCUUUCUCCGAGUUUGUGCCAAAAGUUUACAACCAAAUUAAAGAAUUUAUCUACGCUUGUCUGAAGUUUUCGGAAGAUCUUCAUCUAAGCUCAACUGAAGUUGAUGACAUGAUUCGUAAAUCAACAAACCUUUUGCUAACCAGGACUCUGAGCAACUCUCUGCAGAAUGUCAUUAAAAGGAAGAAUAUUGGGCUUACUGAGCUCGUCCAGAUUAUUAUCAACACAACACAUUUGGAGAAAUCCUGUAAGUACUUGGAAGAAUUUAUCACCAACAUCACUAAUGUGCUUCCGGAGACAGUUCACACUACCAAGCUCUAUGGCACCACAACUUUUAAGGAUGCUAGACAUGCAGCUGAAGAAGAAAUUUAUACAAACUUAAACCAGAAGAUUGACCAGUUCCUACAGCUGGCAGACUAUGACUGGAUGACCGGAGAUUUGGGCAACAAAGCUAGUGAUUACCUGGUAGACCUCAUUGCCUUUCUUCGUAGCACCUUUGCUGUAUUUACACACCUUCCUGUAAGUGAUAUUUACUCUUACUUUGUCCUUUAUAUAUAAACAAGUUUCCUUAUAAUUUAGUUUGAUGAAAGAUAUUAGUUUCUGCUGUAACUAACCAGAAAGAUCUUAGUAUAUAAACGCUCAUGCUAUAUUUAUUAACUCUUAAUCAUAUUUAGAGGCUACUUCCAUCAUUUUUUCAUUGAUCUUUGUGUUUUUUUCAUUCUAAAAAUGGUUCCUGGUAUUAUGUCUGCUUAUCUUCCUAUGAUGUUCAAGGUAAUUAGUACAAAGACAUUAUAAAAGCCUUGGUAGAAUUAGAAAAGAAAGUUAGAAUUUCAGAUAUGCAUAUUUUAGUUUUAUAAUAUUCUUUAAUAUUUUUAUAUAAACUGAAAUUGUUUGAUGAAAUGCUCCAUCUUUUUAUCUAAUUUGUCUAUCUUUUCUCUAUUUUCUUAAGCAUAUUAAUUAUAGACUUUUGAAAUCAUUCUUUACUACUUCUUAUAUACAUUAUACAUACACAUAUUGGUGGGAUUUUUUUUCUCUUGGCUUUCAGUCAUGUGGUCCUGUCUCUUUCUAAUAUUUUUUGGUUGAUGUUAGACAUUGUGUAAAAUAUAUGGAGAUUCCAGGUGGUGUUAUUUUCCACCAAAAAGGUUCAUGUUUUCCCUUACUAAGUAUGUAGAAUGGGCAGGUGGGUGGGUUGUGGUUUGAAGCUGACCGCCUUAGUACCAUCAUGGACUAAUUUGGUUUAAUAUUGGGUUGCAGUUAUAAUGUACUUUGCCGCUGUUGGGAGGAUAUGGUUCUGCAGAAUUUUUAAAAACUGCCUGAUAUGUCAUUGUCUUUUUAGCACCAGAGAGGACUAUAGAAAUUCUUACUUUUCACAGAAACCUUAUCUAUUUAGUUUCCUGUACUCCUUGGUUUUAGAAUCUGGCAAAUACAUUGAGAAGGAGACGUAGCAGUACCCAGCAUCAGCAAUUGCUGACAAGAAAAAAAGUGGUUGGGAGUUGUCAGUGUUAAUUUACCAUCCCUAAUGAGGUUUCAGCUCCUCCUAUGAUCUGAAUGUUAGUGUACACUGAAAAGUCAUAUGUUGAAUCUAAUAACCAGUGUGAUUACAUUUGGAGGUGCCUUGGGAGGUGGUUGAUUAUGAGGGUAGAGCCUUACAAAUGGAAUUAGUAUACUUCUAAGAGAGACUUCAGAGAGCUGCUGUCUUCCUUCUGGCCAUGUGAGGAUAAAGGGAUACAGGAAGACAACUCUUUCUUUUUUUUUGCGCUAGGAGAUAGGCCUUUGUCAGAUACUGAAUCUGCUGGUACUUUGAUGUUGGACUUCCAAGCCUCCAGAACUGUGAGAAUUCUGUUGUUUGUAAGCUACCAGUCUGUGAGAUUUUGUUACAUUAUUCUGAAUGGAUUAAGAUAGUUCCCGUCAUUUUUAGGCAUUCUUCUAUUAGUGAGUCUUUUUCUCUGAAACACUGUGAAACUGUGAGAAAUCUCCUUGCUUUUAAGAGAUUCUUUAGAAUUCAGUAAAUGUCUUGAAGGUAAAAACUAGUCCUCAAAUCUCUAAUUGUGGCACUCUAGUCCAUUGGAAGCAGCAAAGAUUUCAUGUGUUUUUUUUUAACCCUCUAGUAGUUAGUCUCUGCCUGGUUUUAAGCUUCUGAGUAUGUCGCCCAUGCCUACGUGUCUCAAAUGCCCUUAGGGAAAGCUGCAGAUCCUCAGCUCACCUUUAAAAGGUUCUGUCCUCUCUGCAGUUUCAUUCUCUUUUGUUUUCAUUUAUUCACAGCACCUGAUGUCUUUUAAUAUGUUUUCUCUACAUGUUUUACUUCCUUUCCUGGUUUUCCUACUGGGAGCAUUUACCUGCAGAAAAUUGUGUCAUUUUAUCAAGCUUCCUCUUGACACCAAAGCCAGACAAAAAGAGCACACACAAAAAUGAGUUAAUCUCACAAUUAUGGAUAAAAAUAAAAUAAAUAAAAUUUUAACAAGUCAAUUCCAAGUGUUUUAAGAAAGUAAUUUAGUACUCAUGUGUAGGAUUUAUUCCAGAAAUGAAAGGAUGGUUUGAUAUCUAAAAAAAAUCUGUUGAUAUAAUUUAUCACAUUACUAAGUGAAAGAGAUAAAGUAUGUUGAUGUAUUCUAGAUAUUUUAUUACAUCCAGCCUACAUUCUUGAUUUAAAAACAAAGUUUACUAAAUUCCAAGUAGUAUAAUAUUUCAAUAACAUGAUAAAGAACAUCUUUUUGAAAUUUAGUAGCCACUAUAGAUUUAACAGUAGAACAAUAAAACAUUUAUUUUCAUUGACUUCAGGAAUUGGGUGAAGAUGCUUCUCAUCAGUGCUUUAGAAGUUCUAUCAAAUAAAUGUAAAGAAAUAAUAAAUUAUAUUAUUAUGAGCCAUGUAUGUCUUAAUUGAUUCCUGUUGCCAUAAGAUACCUUAGACUGAGAGAUUUAUAAAGAACAGAAAUUUAUUUCUCACAGUUCUGGAGGCUGAAAAGUCCAACAUCAAGAUGUCAGCAGAUUCAGUGUCUGAUGAAGCCCUUUUCCUCAUAAAUGACACCUCUGUAUCCUUACAUAGCAGAGAAGGCAAAAAGGACAAACUCAUUCCCUCACUUCUGAAAAGGCCUCCCCACAAAAAUUAAAAAAAUAUAUGAAAGUUGCAUUGGGGAUUAAAUUUCAAUAUGAAUUUUGGAGAGGCUCAAACAUUUCAAACUACAGCACAUGCAUAUUAUUAUUUAUAGGUUAUUAUCUAGACAGAAAAUAGUAAAAAUUCAUCAAGACCAAUAAGAAUUUAGGUUAGAUGGUUCACUUAGAAAACAAGUAAACUUUUCUUAUAUUAGCAAUACCCACAUAGAAAAUAUAUUGUCAAAAAUGUCUUGUUUAUUAUUCAGACAUAGAUAUAAUUUCUCUAUGCAGAGAAAUUUCUCUACUUAGCAAAUAAAUGUAGAAAUAAUGUGACAACAUCACAGAGUAACAUAAAAGAGACUUCUUUAUGCACAAAUAUAUCUGGUAUUCCAGUAUGGGACUAUUUCAUUUUGUAGAAAAUUUUUUCAAAUUGAAUUGCGAUGAGUACCAAGUAAAUUUGUUUAGGGAGGAAUCUUAUUGAAAUAAUUCUGAAAUUUAUUUGUAAACAAAAAUGGACAAUAUUUGGUAAAAGAAUAAAUUAUUAACGAACAAAUUUUGUAACUCUAGUAAUAAGACAUACAUAUUAAAUGUGAAAUUUUUGACUGUGAACUAGUUAGAAAUAAGAAAAUGGUAACAUUCAAUAUUUAUGAGAAAUAAUUGUUGAAAAAGGUAUUUUGAUAGAUUGCUGGCAGGGGUCUUAGUUAUUAUAGUCUUUUUGGAGGUCAGUUUUUCAAUAUGCUGCAGAAAUCCUUUAAAAUUAGCUUAUCUUUUACUAUGUAAUUCCACUUUUGGAAUUUGAACUUAAUGAAAUAAUCAUGGGUGUAUUAUAAAAUUCAGAUAUAACUAUAUUUAAUGCAAUAUUGUAUUUGUAUAGCAAGGAGUUGAUAUAAAAGUCCAUUAAGCAAAUGUGUUCACAAACUAAAUUACUGUAUAUUCAUAUAAUGUGAUAUCAUUCAUUCAUUAAAUUGAUGUAAAUGUAUAUUUACUCAUUAAAAUGUGUUUAUUAUUUUUUAAUUGUAAAAACAGAUAUGAUCUUAUUUUAAUUAAUACAUAUAUACACAUUAAAUAUCCAUAUUAUGUACAGUGUAAGUCUAGAAUUGUAUACGCCAUGGUUUAUCCUUAUUUCUAUGUAGCUUUUAGGUUUUCCUUUUUGUUUGUGUUUUUAGAAAAUGUUUUCUGAAUUGAAACAUUUGCUGCUUUUAUAAUGGGGGGGUGUGGAGGUGAUAUUUAGAAUAAUUAUUUCCUAUCUCAAGAAUUAUUGUCUUUGAUAACUAAUUUUUACAUAAAUAUAUAUAUAUAUAUUUAUUUAUUUAUUUUGAGACGGAUUCUUGCUCUUACACCAGGCUAUAGUGCAGUGACGCUAUCUCGGCCCACUGCAACGGCCGCCUCCUGCUUCAAGUGACUCUUCUGCCUCAGCCUCCCGAGUAGCUGGGACUACAGGUGCACGUCACCACGCCCGGCUAAUUUUUGUGUUUUUUAGUAGAGCUGGGGUUUUACCAUGUUGGUCAGGAUGAUCUUCAUCUCUUGACCUCAUGAUCCGCCUGCCUCAGCUUCCCAAAGUGCUGGAAUUACGGGCAUGAACCACUGCACCUGGCCUAAUUUAUAUUUUUAAAUUGCUUUUGCCAGCCUACCUGUCCCCAUUUCAUCAUGCUGUUAUAUUUCAGCAUCACACUUUGUACUCCUUGCUUCAACCUCUCGGUCAUUUAGAAGCAGUAAUGUGGAUCAGACUGGUGCUUGUCUGAGUUAAAGUACAUGCUUUUUCUACCUGUAGAGUUGUGAACUUUCUUGCAAGGCUAUACUGUAAGUAAUUAGUUGAGGUUUAUUUCUCCCUUUUUUGUUUAUUCUAAACUGCCAUUUUUACCUAAAUACUAUAUAACCUCUCAGUGUGGAUAGAAUUGAUUCUACCACUCUUAUUGUAGAACCACUUUACCAUGUACCAUUCAGAAUCAAAGUAGGGAGUAACUGACAGGCUUAAGUCCUCAAUAUUGCUUCCAUUGAUGCCACAUUUCUGUCUUGUCUACACUUUUCUGAAGCUACACUUUUAAAAUUAAUUGGAUUCAACAGAUAUUAUAGUCUCUAGAAUCAGGUGACUUUUUAAACUACUCCACCUGGUUUUCCACAAAAUAGAUUGCCCAACAUUUUUGCUUAUGUUGCCCAGAAUGCUAGAUAGUUUCCUCAUGGAACCCCAUAUUAGUCACAAAACAGAACUGUGUCUAAGAUUUGCCCUUGUGCAUUAUUAGAGAAAGAAUGGGAGAGAAAAGAGUUCAUUUCUGAAAAAGAACCCAAAUCAUUUGUGUUUUACUUACCAUAAAUAUUUUCGUUAUUCUGUGGCAGGAGUGGCUCUCUGUCAGAAAGAUUGAUUAAUAGAAAAAAAAGUAUAUGGAGAGGACUAGAAGACAAGGCAAAUUCUGUCUUAUUCUUUUACAUUUUAGAAUCCCCAGUUUCUCUUAAUUCUCAGGGAUAUUUUGUUACUGCAUCAUAGCUGCAACAUAGCCAGGGGGAUAGGUCAGUGUCUAGAAGUGUGUUUGUGUGUGACACAGAGAGAGAGAGAGAGGGAGAGUACGAGUGUAUUUGUUUGUAGAUUAUUCUCAUUAUUAGAUAGUCAGUGAUCAGAGGGGAAAAUUAUUUAAUUUUGCAACUGUUUUUUCCCCUUGAAGUUUUUGUGACCUAGGAGGCCUGCCUAUCUUCAUGAGGCACCCAGAAAUAACUGUAAUAAUAUUUUCCACAUUUAGAGUUUUUAAAUCUUACUCUUUCCCUUGAGUUAAGAGAUGAGGUAAGUACACACACAUUUUUUUCAGACUUCAGUUGUGUAAUUUACAGUUGCAUGCACAGUUAUCCAUUUUGCAUGCUCAGCAUAAGAGCAUAUUUUUGAGAAUUUAUUCUUGUUAUCCUGAUAAUUAUCUUUCAGAAAUGCUUAAGAGAGAAAAUGCUGUCUCAAGUAACAGACCCAGAAGAUGGAAUCCUGAGUUUGUUUUCUCUGUCUGAUGUUAAUGUUAAUUUGUAUGACAUGGGGCAAGGUCUCUCAGCCCACCUUGGUUUGUGAGUUAAGCAUGGAAAUUCUUCUAGUUUCUUUGUCUAGUAAUACAGUGAGAUGUAUCCCUGGGCUUACUUUCUGGGCAGCUGAUAGGUCAUCCUUAGAGAAAAUUAUUUUCUACUUACAAGUUUCUGAAAGUCUUCCAAUUUAAAACCCUUUAAAAACUGACAUUUCUUUUAGUACUCAAUUUAUUUCCAGAAAUUGUUGCCAUCUCCAACCUAACCAAAUGAUUCUGCUACUGAAGAACUGUCAAUACAAAUUGUCAGUACUCCCAUUAAGUACAAAAUCUUUUCUGUGCCCAUCAGACUUUUCAUAAUGGGACCUUAAACUACCUUUCUGUCUUUUUCUUUGUCUUUGUCUCUCUUUUCUAUUUACCAAAGAUUCUCCUCCCAUAAUGAAGUAAUGCUCUUUGUUAAGCACACCCAGCUGUUUUCUAUCCUGGGCCUUUGUUUUUUAAAAUGCCUUUUCAUCUACUUUUACUGCUUUUGCCCUUUAACUACACAUGUUGAAAUCUUACAUCAUUCAAGGUUCAUUUAAGUACCACACCUUCUAUGAAGCCUUAUCAGUUCUCCUAACCAGAUGUGACGUCUUCCUUUGUGGCACUUUUUAAAAUGCCACUAACUAAAUUUUAUCUUGGACUGGAUGUGUCAUUCAUUUAUGCACUUUAUUCAGGAAAGGAGACAAUGGUAAUUAAGCAUCUGUUGUGUUCCAGAUGCUUUACAUGUAUUAUAUGUCAUCCCAGUUGAUGAGGACUCAAAAUACCUCAAUUGGAUAAGUAUUAAUAUUAUUAUUACAUCUUAUGAUGAGACCAUAAAAUCAAGGAGUAUAUAUACUUUGUAAAGGAUACAGCAAAUAGAGGAAAGGGUUAGGAUUUAAACAAAUUUAUUCAACUUAAAAUUUUUUCUAUUAUGCCAUCCUAUUAGAUUGAUUACCAACUAUGGACUUGUGAAUCCUGUGGAUAAAGACCUUGUCCUAUUCAUCUGUAUUUCUGUGUAUAGUGCAGCAGCUUGUAUGAAAUAGUGCAUAGUAAGUUUGUAUGGAGUUUACAUGUUUUGAACAAUAAACUAAGUGAAUUCCUGCCUGGGCAUUGACAAUCAUUUUUGGGUCAUACAUCAUUAAAAGUAACCAUUUAAUUAUAGAAAAGAGAAGUCAUAAGCUAUUAUUUUGAGAUAAUGACCAAAAAUUUGCUUAGGUUAAAAUUCUAAAUUGGUCUUUCUCCUUCCAUAUUCUCUAGUUUCUCCAAAUAAGAAAGAGUAUGGUUUUCAAGUGACAGAAUUUUAAUUAUAAAAUGCCUUGCAUUCAUGUAUUACUUAGUAAUGUUCAAAUUUCUUUCAUAUGUCAUUAUCUCAUUUCUUUGUUUAAAAAAACAGCCUCUAUGCUAUAUGGACAGUCACUAUUUUCCCCAGUUAAUAAAUAUGGUAAUUGAGGCCUAACAGGGUCUUGCCCAAAGGUCAGAAAAUUAAUCAAUAGUGGGUCUGGAUCCUAGGUCAUUUUACCUGGGAUCAUGCUUUUUUCACUAUAUUAAGCUGUCUCUUAACAUUUAACAAUAGCUAAUGACCUUUGAGUACAUACCAUAUACCAGGUACUAUGCAAAGUGUCUUCUCCCUCUCUGUCUCUUUCUUUCUUUGUGUGUGUAUACAUAUACACAUAGGUGUAUGUAUUCUAAUGUACAUAUCUAUAUAUAUAUAUUUAUUCUCAUUUAUUCCUUGCAACAAAUUUGUGAAGACAUUGUUAUUCUCCCAGUUUAUAAAUUAGAAAAGAAAAACUAGAAUAGCUUAUACAUUAGUAAACAUAGAGAGGUUUAUUAUUGUGUCAAAAAUUACUCAUCUAGAGUUAGUGGAUCUGGGGUGUAAACUGCCUUCAAAGCCCUUCCUCCUUCACACUAUGGUAUAUAAUACCACUAAGCUAUGUAUGAGAAGCACUAAGCUAUGUUUCAUAGGGCCGACAUUUAAAUACCUUUUUCUCUGUGGGAUUCCUAUUCAGAAUCUUUUUUGUUAAUGUAUAAAAUUUUAGUCAUGGUGACCAGAACAGUUCCUAGUAGAGGGGUUAAACUGUGGUAAUGCGCCUAUAAAGUAGAAACUCUAUCUGGUAAUGGGAAAUAUACGAAUAAGUUGGUUGCCUAUUUCUAACCUAACUUGAGUUCCUUUAUUUGACACCUUAUGUGGAAAUUUCUCUCAUCUACUGAUAAAAAUGAUCCUGGAAGUUGGCCCAAUUCCUGACUUUCUCUGAAACAAAAUAAAAAAGUUUCAGGUGUCCUCAAAAAGGACUAGAGGCAUCAGAUCCUUUAGGAUACAACCACAUUUUUCUUUAUUACAUUAAUUACAUAGAUAGAUCCAGGAUUCAGGAUUUUUUUUUUUUCCUGGAUGGAGCACAAAUUACUGAUUUACUAAUGAUUUUUCUGCCAAUCAAGAAAUUGAUUCAUGUUUCCUAUUUCCGUGCAGUUAACAUUUAGGUUAUUUGAACUACAUGGGGUACAUUGAAAUAAAAACAUUUGCUUCUUAUCUAUGUGGUAUUGGGAUCUUUUGUUUAGUUAAUCACUUAAAUCCUUUAGAGGUUUUGUAUUUCUUCAGAAAUAUCUUUGUGUGUUGAGCUAUUACUUAGCACUUUUCUCCCCAUAAAGCUAUUAUCACCAAGCCAGAGCUGUACUUUCUGGUAGCAUCCAGCCAGUAAUCCUUUGCCUCUUUAAUGAUAAUGACCUUCGAAUCUUUUUCUGCUUAUAUAAUUAUUAAAUAAAAGCUUAAGUAUGUUUGCUUCCAAAUAGAGUCAUUUACUUCUAAUCCUGUUUUUGUUGAUAGAAAAUAAGGAUAAUCUGGAAUUUAACAGAGUGCAAAAUUCCACACUUGCAAAUCUACAUACUUGAUUUCCUUUUCUUUUUCUAUUCCUUGUUUUUUUUUUUUUUUUGAGUCUCACUCUGUCACCCCGACUGAUAUGCCAUGAUGGGAUAACAGCUCAUUGCAGGCUCGCCCUCUCAAACUCAAGCAAUCCUCCCACAUCAGCCUUACAAGUAGCUAGGACCACAGCCAUGUGCUGCCAUUUCUGGCUAAUGUAUUAAUUUUUUUAUGGAGAUGGUGGUCUUACUAUGUUCCGUAGGUUGGUCUUGAACUCCUGGACUCAAGUGAUCUUCCUGCCUUGUCCUCCCAAAGUGCUGGGAUUAUAGGGCAUGAGCCACUGCAUCCGGUAAGAGAAUCAGAGAUUCCAGUGAGAAUAUGUUAGCUAUUGCUAUACUUGAUCAUUUUAGUAUUUUCGAUACCUGAUAUGGUUUGGCUCUGUGUCCCCACCUAAAUCUCACCUUGAAUUGUAAUAAUCCCCACAUGUCAAGGGCAGGACCAGGAGGAGAUAAUUGAAUAAUAGGAGUAGUUUCACCCAUGCUGUUCACAUGAUAGUGAGAUCUGAUGGUUUUACAAGGGGCUUCCCGCUUCCCUCAUCACUCAUUCUCUCUCCUGCUGCCCUAUGAAGGGUACUUUCUGCCAUGAUUAUAAGUUUCCUGAGACCUGCCCAGCUAUACGGAACUGUGAGUCAAUUAAACUUUUUUUCUUUAUAGAUUACCCAGUUUGGGGUAUUUCUUCAUAGCAGUGUGAGAAUAACCUAAUACAAUACCUUUAAAAGAUGGUAAGGAGACUGCUUGUAUUCUUUCUUAUUGAUACUAAAGUUGUGGGGUGUUGAGUUUUAUCCAAGGACAAAACAGUAUUUCAACAUUGCUAAUAUCAGCAAAUAAUUAAAAACCUUAACUGUGUAAUAAUAGGUAAACUGUUAUAUAAACCUUAUACUAUUAUUCAGUGAAAUGUUAUGCAUUUACUAAAACUAAUUUUAUGAAGUUUAAAUUAUAACCUUGCAAAGCACUUAUAAUAUGCUAAAUGAAAGAAAUAGUAUGAAAGUUUUAUAAGCAAAAUGAUUAUAAUGUGUAAAAACAUGUUCAUAGUGAGAAAAAAGUUCACCAGGAAAUAUUUUAAAUUAAAAUAAUUAUGUUGGUAGUGUCACUUCUUAUUUUUUUCAAUAUUAUUAUUGGCAUUUUAAAAAUCUUUAAACGUUUCAUUUAUUUAAAAAAAGUUUUAGGCUGGGUGUGAUGGCUCACACCUGUUAUCCCAGCACUUUGGGAAACUGAGGUGGGGGCAUCACAAGGUCAGGAGAUCUAGAUCAUUCUGGCUAACAUGGUGAAACCUCAUCUCUACUAAAAAUACAAAAAAUUAGCUGGGUGUGGUGUCAUGUGCCUGUAGUCCCAGUUAUCCGGGAGGCUGAGGCAGGAGAAUUGCUUGAACCUGGGAGGUGGAGGUUGCAGUGAGCCGAGAUCACGCCAUUGCACUCCAGCCUGGACAACAAGAGUGAAACUCUGGCUAAAAAAAAAAAAAAGUUUUAGAUCUUUACAGCUUCUCUCUCAGUUCAGAUUUCCUUUGGCUUAUAAAUUCAAAGUGAAACAAAAACCACACUUUUAGAUUCUUUUAUGUGCCAGUAUUCUUCAUUUAUCUCAUCUUUGUUUGCAAAGUAACCCCUUUUUACUUAAUCUUAAAUUUAGGUAUAGGUAGGUUAAAUCAUUGCUUAAGACCCUAUAAAUAAUGUAUUUUUGGAAUACAGAUUUAGAUUGAGGUCUCUCUAAUUCCAAAGCAUGUACUCUUUUUGCUACAGUAAACAAGUUGCUUUUCCACUAAUAUUUCCAAGUCUAAAGGAAGGUGUUUGAUCUGUAGGGGUGCUGUUGAAUUGAGGUUUCUGAGCAAACUUCUAGGCAAGGGUACUGAGAAGCAUGGCUGAGAUUAGAUCAAGAGCAGUAAAGCACAGCUGAGGACAACCGAGGAUGCGCUAUCGUUAUAAACAAGAGCAGCAAUGGAAGAACAUAGGCAGAGUUUCUUUUUAUGUCAGCUUGUUUCUAGAUGUGCCUUCCAGGAACACUGGCUUUUCUGUUACUCUCUGUUCAGAAAUUUUUAAUAAUUUCCACCUUUUAAAGUGUAAGUACUAUCUACAUUAAAUACGUUACUUAUAAUUCCCUUACAUAAAGCUGUGACUUAAGCCAAAUAUAUCUGUUCAUUGUUCCCAAACACACUGUGCUUAUUCCUGGCUGUAGACCCUUUUCAUGGUUUUCCUUCUUCUCCGAAUGACUUCUAUCUCACUUUCAAAUCCUUCCCUCCUUUCACAUACAGCUUAAUACCUGUUUUCCCCAUGAGGUCUUUUAGGACUGUUCACCUUUUUUCCCACAAUUCAUACCCCAAAAUUUGAUUUUCUUGUGAACUCCUAUAGAUAUUAUUGUCUCAAUUUUCUACUUGAAACUUCAGAUAUAUGAUCUUAAAUAUCGUUUGCUGUAUUUUUCCCUUAUCAUCCACUAACGUUACAUAUUAUUUGAAGGAAAGUGUCUCAGACUUUUUAACAUGGCCAGCAUUGAGCAGAUAUCCAGUUAAUUUCAUGAUGAGAUUGGAAUGUCUAAUAGGGACAUCAUGUAUGGAAUAGUGUCCUCCAACUCAGAUGACUAUUUGCCUUUACAUGACAUCUAUUUUCAUUACAGCUCUUCAUUAUAAAUAUAUUUUGCUUAUAAUUCCACUUCAUUAAGAAUGAUGUUGGGAGUGCACUGUAAAUGUAAUUAUCCAAGUUCCAAAGGAAGAAAAUACUGCUGCUUGGAUUAUUGCAGUGAGGUCAUUCUAAUCUACAUUUUUACUUCUUUGACAAGAGGACAAAUUUGAGCCUGCAAAUUGGUGUUGGGAUACCUUAGCAUAUAUAUUGUACAUGUUGUGGUGUGAGGAGUUCACAGUUAAAUGAACAAUAGGAAUGUGGUAUAUGCCACUGUUCUGCAAUACUUUCAUGGUGGUUUGUAGCUACAAUUUUAAUAUAGUUUAGUAAGUACUUGAACUUCUCCAAACAAAUAACACAGAAUUUUGGAAAUCAGACACAGUCCAUGCUUGCCCCUGAGACUUCCCUCUCUUUGAAUUAGCCAUUGCAGGCUUCUUGUUCUUUAGCUCCUUGCUGAUAGAUGAAGUAUGCUCUCUUCCCAAGGAAAAACUACCUUCUUAAAAAAUGAUUAGGGAUACACACACACACACACACACACACACACACACACACACAUGCGCGCGCACUCUCACAAAGACAAAAAGUGAAUUUUCUACCCUGCAGUACAUCGCUGAAUGCAUUUUGUUACAUAUUUUUAAAAAGUGUUUCUGUUAAGGGCAUCCAAUUGUUAUUUUUAUUUCAUGUAGAAUUAUCUUAUUGCCUUUAUAUAUUUCUGCAAAUGAAUAAUUUACUAUCUUUAACUGUUCUAACAUGUAACAAAGCAGGAAGUUUUAUUUCAUGUUUUUGUGUAUGUGUUUUCUUUUAUUGGCCUACUAUCUUUUUGUCUUCACUUACGUUUCCUUUAAUCUUUGUUUAUCUUGAUAACUCCUUUGAAAGAUAAUCUUAGGAUUAGGAAGUGACAGAGAUCUGAAAAUGGGAAGCAGUCUUUCAACAGACAAGCAGGCCCUAACUCUAUACUCUCAAGAAGUUUAACAUGAACCGUUUGUAAGGCUAAUUUUCUUUUGUGCCUAUGUUUUUUUAGUGAUGAGCAUACAUUCCUGCUGGAAGUAUGUAAAUCUAAGGAUUCUUCAUUAGAACUAUGUUCUUGGUGCCAUAUUGACAAUAUCUAUAUUUUUGCUAUUGUAAAACAGAUACAGUGAGAUUAUUAAAAGAAUCACAUUGAUGCUACAUUGCAGGUGGUAAAGGAAACAGGUGGUAUCAAUUCCCUAGGGGACAUUUAAUUGUGAUCUUUCCUUAGGGUUUCCCUUCCCUUUAGCAGUUGUCCACUGGGAUCCUUCCAGUGUUUUUUGUUUAUCUUUUUACCUUCUUGGUAGAACCUGGCUCCCUUGUGUAGGGCAGGGAAUGAGUCUAAUGAGCAUAAGGUUUAUGGCUUCAAUAGUAAUGUUUAAAAUUCUAGUCCUAGUCUAGCUCUAAUGUUAGUCUAUGGCCUCAGUCAACUGCUAAUGAUAUGACUAUGGCUAUGCCUAAUCAUACUUACUGUGUGCUAUUGAGGGAAGAUUACUGAAUGUAACACAAUUAUUUUACUAAUGCUAACUCUAGAACGUCAAGAGAAACUUCCAGUGACCUUCUGUAUGAUUCAACGAAUUCCUGUAAUUAUGGUAUACAGGACUUGAUCUGCUUUUGAUUAAAAAACAUUGCUACCCAAAACUACCAAACCAUGACAUCUUCAUAGGGGUAUCUCAUGAAUAUCUGCUUGUCUUAUUAACUCUCUUUUGCUAUUAUUAGUUAGCAAGUAAACUCACUGUUUUAAUUCCUUUACUUUUUAAAAAUAAUGUGAUACGUGAUUAACGUUUAAUGUGUCUAUACCCUCUGUGGUAUAUGACUUCUGUCUUUUAGGUCCCUUUGGUAAACUUGCCAGGCUGUUUCUGAUUUCAUGAAGCUGGAACAGAUAUGUGGCUUAAUUGCUUUUAGUCUAAAAGUCUGGGGAGCACUCUGAAAAAGUGACUGUAUCCACAUACCAGAGUUUUGAGAUAUAUAUAUAUAUAUAUAUAUAUAUAUAUAUAUUUUUUUUUUUUUUUUUUUUUUUUUUUCUAUUUGUUAAGGUAUGUUUGCAGGCCAUUUUACCCUCUCUACAUAAAUAGGGUAUGGGAAUUCUAGGCAGCUUGUAACAGUUUUCUUUGGUACUGAUUUUGUCUGUUUAUUAUUUUCUCCAAAGGAGAGCUUGUCAAAUUAUUAUAGAUAGAAAAGAAGUUACAGCUGGUGGCCAUAAAUAUCAUUCCUGAUCCUUAUUAGUUUGCUGUAUUUUAUUUAGAGUAAGAUUUGAACACCUAAUGGCUCUUUGCUUUUUCUUAAAGAAAUGGAAAAACCAAGUACUGGAAGAAGUGCUUGUAUGGAAGAUGGGUGAGACCUGUUACAAAUUGUUCUAAGAAGUAGAAGUUAGAGAGAAAUGAAAGUAUGAACGAGUUAAUUCAUGGACAACAUUGUAACAGAGAAUAGCUGAUUUUCUGGAAUGGUGCAAAGGCAAUCUAUGUGUAGGACAGAGUAUUAAACUAGAACUCCAAGUCAUCCAACCCUGAGAUUCCUGUGCUUCUACUUCUAUGUGCUGGAACCACAUAGGAGGAGUUACUUGGUAUAUAGUUUCCCACAGCAUCUGUUGAGUAUAAUGUUUAAAGGUCAUCCAAAAUAAUACAACUGUAAAAGCAUAUUGGACAUUCAACUUAUAGUAAGGACAAUUUUAGAUCAAGGCCUGAAUUUAGAGGAUUUUUUACCUUAUAUUUUCAUAUUUUUCCUAUCUAUGAAAAUAUAUUAGUUCAGUAUAGUUAUAUAAUUUCAUUAGGAAGGAUCAUUUCUAAAAGUUCAUUAUAAUUUUAUUCUUCCCUUACUGCAAUACAAAAAAUGACAAUGCUGUAGGAUAAAUUGGAAAGUGAAAUAAGAAACAUAACUUCCAAAAGUAGAGUGCUACAAACAAAUUUAGAGUUUUCUACUCUGGCUGAGAUUUCCAAAAGCUUUAUAUUAUGAGCUGAGGUAUGUUUUUCUUUUAGGCUUAAGUAUGUAAAACAAUAGGCUUGUGUUAUUUUGUCUUUUUUCACAGUCUGGCACUGUGAAAUUUCAUACGACUCUUUUAAAACUUGUGAACAUGUAAAAGAAUGCUAAUGACACUAUCUCCCCAAAAGCCUUAGCCAUCGUCCUAGAUGCAACUGUGACAGUAAUAGUGUCUCAUGAAAAACUGGGAAGAAGCUUACACUAAAGUGAACUGAUCUGUGGUUAGUAUUCUGUUUAGUUUUUUGAACACAACUCUGAACUCAGUAUUUAUAGAGAAUUUAGUUUUGGGCCAUUUACGUGGGAAGAUAUUAUUGAUUUAACCAGAUGCUCCAAACCAAGGGAGUAUUUUUAGUAGUACAAAAUAUAAUCACUUUUGCUAAUUCUUCUUCUUCUUCUUUUUUUUUUUUCUGAGACGGAGUCUUACUCUGUCACCCAGGCUAGACUGCAGUGGCGCAAUCUCAGCUCGCUGCAACCUCCAUCUCCCAGAUUCAAGCAGUUCUCCUGCCUCAGCCUCCCAAGUAGCUGGGACUACAGAUGUGUGCCACCAUGCCCGGCUACUUUUUAUAUUUUUAGUAGAGACGGGGUUUCACCAUGUUAGCCAGGAUGAUCUCAAUCUCCUGACCUGUUAUUCGCCCGCCUUGGUCUCCCAAAGUGCUGGGAUUACAGGCAUGAGCCACCGUGCCCACACUCAUUUUUGCUAAUUCUUGUACUCUACUUUGAUGUUACAUAUAGCUUGUUAUUUCAGUGGUCUGGUUUAACAUUUAGUUCAUUUGUUCUGUGUUCACAGUAAAAUUUCUUCAUUACUUGGGAGACAAUGAUAAUAGAUAUCUUUAAUUUUCCACCCCAGGUUAUUAUUGUUUAGUGUACCUUAAUUAAAAACACAUGAAGCAAGUAUUGGAAAUAUAUUGUUUCUCACAUUGUAAGAUAUUACCUACCUAUAAGUUGAUUUUGGAAAUAACUACCUACCUAUCUUGAAUACCAUUUACUUAAAUAAAUAGAUAAUGAGAUGUGUUCUCUAGCUAGAGAUAGACAAUUACAUUUUUCAAAAAGAUGAGGAGUAUCAAAAAAUUAUAUAACAGUUCAGUAGCAUGGUAGGCAUCUGGUAGAAGAGAAAGGAAAAACGACUAGGCAGAGGAUAUAGUGUAUAUAAAGAAACAGGAGAAUGAAAAUAAUCAUGGAACUUUUAGAAACUAUGAGGGGAUGUUUUUUGAGGUAUUGUAGAAUAUGAAGUUAGUAACAUAGAUAGGGUCUUGGAACAUGAAGGCCUUAAAUGCCACAUUGGGAAAUGGGACUCUACUGAAAAUGAUGAAGCAUAAAUGAAUACAGGAAGUUACUGAUUAAAUUCCAUUUAGGGGCAAUCAUUUGCAAUUUCAUGAGUGAAUUAGAAUAAUAUGAAUGAUGAGCAAGAAAUCAUUUAGUAAAUAUUCUAAUAUUUCUGGUGAAAGAUUGAGAGAUAUAAUGAACAGUUAUUACCAAGUCAGUGGCAGUGGGAUUUUAGAGGAGAGGACUAAUGUAAGUAAGAUUAUAAAUAAGUAUAACCUUAAUUGGAUUCCCCAGAUCAUCUGUACAAGUACAAAUAAGGAAAGACACAGCUUAGCGUCAAAUCCUAUGACCAAAGUUUGCAGAGUCCAGGAGUCUCAAUAAAUGUUGCUGGUGAAAUACAGCUUCUAAUGCAGGUUAUGUUAACUUAGAUUGUAUUGUUAUUAAUAGAAAUAUAAUUUCUGAAAUUAGCACCAUGGUGGUCCAGUAUCUGCUGUAUUUUAGUCUAGCCACACUUAAUGUAUCGAAUUUUAUUCUGGCCCAACCUUUAGAAAGAAUGUCAAUAUAUUGGAGUUCAUAACGAAGAGAGGGACUAAAUGACUUGAGUUUUUUGGUAUAGAAGUGUAAAGACUCUGAGUAACAUACUGUUUUCACAUAUUUGAAGGUAUAUCAAACAGAUUUGAUUUUAUUAUAAGAUAAUUGCUAGAUACUUCCAGAGAGAUAGAUGUUAGUUUAAUAGACAUUUCUUAGAUGUCUUUCAUGUGCAAGGUACUACAUUAAGUGUUACUGAUACAAAAAUGAAAUAAACAUGGUCGUUCCCUCAAGACCAUUAAACUAGCUCAGAGUUUAAUGGAAUAGAAAUAAUGAAAUUCAUAAGAGGAACAUUUUUCCAAAGAUAAAUUUGUUUUUUAGAGGUUGUAAAAGGUGUUGAAUACAAGACACGUGGAUGUUUGAAUAAUUUCUAACAUUCUUAAAUUGUGUUAGUUUGAAGCAGGAAUUUCUUUAUUUAAAACUUUGAUUAUAAGUUCAGGGAUACAUGUGCAGGUUUGUUAUAUAGGUAACACAGGGGUUUCUUUUGCAGAUUAUUUCAUUACCCAGGUAUUCCACCUAGUACCCAGUAGCUAUUUUUUCUGCUCCACUCCUUUUUCCCACUGUACCCCCUCUUGUACACACCAGUGUCUGUUGUUCAGUUCUUUGUGUUCAUGUGUUCUUGUUAUUUAUCUCCCACUUAUAAGUAAGAACAUGUGGUAUUUGGUUUUCUGUUCCUGCUUUAGUAUGCUAAUAGUCUUAGCUCUAUCCAUGUUCCCACAAAAGACAUGAUAUUCUUUUUUACACCUGCAUAAUAUUCCAUGGUGUAUAUAUACCAAAUUUUCUUUAUCCAGUCUGUCAUUGAUGUGCAUUUAGGUUGAUUUCACGUCUUUGUUAUUGUGAAUGGACAUUUGCAUGCAUGGGUCUUUAUGACAGAAUGAUUUGUAUUCCUCUGGUUAUAUUCCUAGUAAUGGGAUUAUUGAGUCAAAUGGUAGUUCUGCUUUUAGCUCUUUGAGGAAUUGCCAUACUGCUUCCCACAAUGGUUGAACUGAUUUACAGUCCCCAAAAUAGUGUAUAAUGAGAUGUGUUCCCCUUUCUCUGAAACCUCACAACCUCUGUUAUUUUUAUUUACUUUUUAAUAGCCAUUCUGACUGGUGUGAAAUGGUAUCUCAUUGUGGUUUUGAUUUGUAUUUCUCUAAUCACUGAUAUUGAGCUUUUUUACAUGUGCUUGUUGGCCACAUGUAUGUCUUUUGAAAAGUGUCUGUUCAUGUCCUUUGCCUACUUUUUUAUCAGGUUGUGAUAUGGUUUGACUGUGUCCCCACCCAAAUUUUAUCUUGAAUUUCUGUGUGUUGCGGGAGGGACCCAAUGGGAGGUAAUUGGAUCAUGGGGACAGGUCUUUCCCAUGCUGUUCUCAAGAUAGUGAGCUGUCUCAUGAGACCUGGGGUUUUAAAAAGGGGAAUUUCCCUGCACAAGCUCUCUCUCUUUUUGCCUGCUGCCAUCCACAUAAGAUAUGAGUUGUUCUUCCUUUCACCAUGAUUGGGAGGCCUCCUCAGCCAUGUGGGGAACUGUAAGCCCAUUAAACCUCUUUCUUUUGUAAAUUGCCCAGUCGGGUAUGUCUUUAUCAGCCACAUGAAAACAGACUAAUACACUAAAUUGGUACCAGUAGAGUGGGGACCUGCUGGAAAGAUAACCAAAAAUGUGGAAACAAGUUUGGAACUGGGUAAUGGGCAGAUAUUGGAACAGUUUUGAGGGCCCAGAAGAAGAUGGGAAAAUGUGGGAAAGUUUGGAACUUUUAGAGACUUGUUGAAUGGCUUUGACCAAAAGCCUGAUUCCAAUAUGGACAAUAAGGUCCAAGUUGAGGUGGUCUCAAAUGGAUAUGAGAAACUUGUUGGGAACUGGAGCAAAGGUGAUUCUUGUUAUGUUUUAGCAAAGAGACUGGCGGCAUUUUACUCCUUCUCUAGAGAGUUGUGGAACUUUGAACUUCAGAGAAGUGAUUUAGAGUAUCUGGUGGAAGAAAUUUCUAAGCAGCAAAGCAUUCAAAGGGCAGCUUGGAGGCUGUUAAAAGCAUUCCAUUUUAAAAGGGAAACAACAUGAAAGUUUGGAAAAUUCGCAGCCUGAUGUGAUAGAAAAGAAUCCCAUUUUCUGAAGAGAAAUUCAAGCCAGCUGCAGAAAUUUGCAUUAGUAAUGAGGAUCUCAAUGUUGACCCCCAAGACAAUGGGAAAAAUGUCUUCAGGCAUGUCAGAGGUUUUUAUGGCAGCCCCUCCCACCCUGGGUCUGGAAACCUAGGCAGAGAAAAUGGUUUUGUGGGCUGGGCCCAAGAUCCCAGUGCUGUGUGCAGUCUAGAGAUUUGGUGCCCUGCAUCCCAACUGCUCCAGCUGUGACUAAAAUGGGCCAUGGUUACAGCUCAUGCCAUUGCUUCAGGGAGUGCCAGCCCCAUGCCUUGGCACCUUCUAUGUGUUGUUGAGUCUGUGGGUAGACAGAAGUCAACAAUUAAGGUUUGGGAAUCUCCACCUAGAUUUCAGAGGAUGAGUAGAAAUGCCUGGAUGUCCAGGCAGAAGUUUGCUGCAGGGGCAGGACUCUCACAGAGAACCUCUGCUACAGCAGUGCAGAAGGGAAAUAUGGGGUGGAAGCCCCCAGAUAGAGUCUCUACUGGGGCACCACCUAGUGGAGUUGUGAGAAGAGGGCUACCAUUUUCCAGACGCCAGAAUGGUAGGUCCACCUAUAGCUUGCACUGUGCACCUGGAAAAGCCAGAAGACACUCAGUGCCAGCCUGUGAGAGCAGACAGGAGGGACACUGUACCCUGCAAAGCCACAUGGGCCAAGCUGCCUUAGAUCAUGGGAAUCCCCUCUUGCAUCAGCAUGACCUGGAUGUGAGACAUGGAGUUAACGGAGAUCAUUUUUGAGCGUUAAGAUUUGGCUGCCCCACUGGAUUUUGGACUUGCAUGGGGUUGUAGCCCCUUUGUUUUGGCCACUUUCUUCUAUUUGGAAUGGCUGUAUUUAACCAAUGCCUGUACCCCCAUUGUAUCUAGGAAGUAACUAACUUGCUUUUGAUUUUACAGGCUCAUAGGUGGAAGGAACUUUCCUUGUCCCAAUUGAGACUUUCGACUGUGGACUCUUGAAUUAAUGCUGAAAUUAGUUAAGAUUUGGGGGACUGUUGGGAAGGCAUGAUUGGUUUUGAAAUGUGUGGAUAUGAGAUUUAGGAGGGUCUAGAGGCAGAAUGAUAUGGUUUGGCUGUGUCCCCACCCAGUUCUCAUCUUUAAUUGUAGCUCCUGUAAUUCCCACAUGUCAUGGGAGGGACCUGGUGGGAGGUAAUUGAAUGAUGGUUGUGGGUCUUUCCCAUGCUGUUCGCAUGAUAGUGAAUAAGUCUCGUGAGAUAUGAUGGUCAUAAAAAUGGGAGUUCCCCUGCACAUAUUCUCUCUUGUCUGCUGCUAUGUAAGACAUGACUUUCACCUUCCACCAUGAUUGUGAGGCCUCCCCAGCCACAUGGACUUGGGAGUCUGUUAAACCUCUUUUUCUUUAUAACUUACCCAGUCUUAGGUAUAUUUUUAUCAGCAGCAUGAAAAUGGGCUAAUACAUGGUGUAGGAAAGGGGUCCAGCUUCACUCUUCUGCAUAUGGCUAGCCAGUUAUCCCAGCACCAUUUAUUGAAUAGGGAGUUCUUUCUCCAUUGCUUGUUUUUGACAGCUUUGUCAAAGAUCAGAUGGUUGUAUAUAUGUUGUCUUAUUUCUGGGUACUCUAUUCUGUUACAUUUGUCUAUGUGUCUUUUCUUGUACCUGUACCAUGCUAUUUUGGUUACUGUAGCCCUGUAAUAUAGUUUGAAGUUGGUAGCAUGAUGCCUCCUGCUUUGUUCUUUUUGUUUAGGAUUGUCUUGACUAUUCUGGCUCAUUUUUGGUUCCAUAUGAAUUUUUACAUAGUUUAUUUCUAGUUCUGUGAAGAAUGCCAAUGGUGGUUUGAUGGGAAUAGCAUUGAAUUUUUGAAUUCCUUUGAGCAGUAUGGCCAUUUUAACAAUAUUGAUUCUUCCUAUUCGUGAACAUGGAUUUAUUUAUUUGUGUCCUGUCUUUAUUUUUUAUUUUAAUUAAAAAAAUUUGUUUUCCUUCUCUUAUUUUUUUGAGCAAUGGUUUGUAGUUUUCCUUGCAGAGAGCUUUUACUUCCCUACUUAGCUGUAUUCCUAGGUAUUUUAUUCUUUUUGUUUCAGCAGUGAAUGAGACUGCAUUCCUGAUUUGGCUCUCACCUUGGCUGUUGUUGGUGUAUAGGAAUGCUAGUGACUUUUGUAUAUUGAUUUUGUCUCCUGAAACUUUGCUGAAGUGGUUGCUCAGCUUAAGAAGCUUUUGGGCUGAGACAAUGUGGUUUUCUAGAUAUAGAAUCUAGAAACUGGAGGGAUAGUUUGCUGACCAUUUUAAUGCCAUUUAUUUCUUUGUCUUGCCUGAUUACCUUGGCCAGAACUUCCAUUAGUAUGUAGAAUAGGAGUGGUGAGAGAGGGCAUCCUUAUUUUGUGCCAUUUUUUGGGGGGAAUGCUUUCAGCUUUUGCCCAUUUAGUAUGAUGUUUCCUGUGAUUUUGUCAUACAUGAGUCUUAUUAUUUUGAGAUCUUCCUUCAAUACCUAGUUUAUUGAGUUUUGCACAUGAAUGGAUGUUGAAUUUUAUUGUAAGUGUUUUCUGCAUCUACUGAGAUAAUGAUGUGUGUGUGUGUGUUUUUUCUAGAGGUGGAGUUUCACUAUGUUGGCCAGGCUGGUCUUUUUUUUUAUUGCAUUUUAGGUUUGGGGGUACAUGUGAAGAACAUGCAAGAUUAUUGUAUAGGUACACACAUGGCAGUGUGAUGUGCUGCCUUCCUCCCCAUCACCUAUAUCUGGCAUUUCUCCCCAUGCUAUCUCUCCCCAACUCCCCACCCCCUCCACUGUUCCUCCUCUAAUUCCCCCCCAACAGACCCCAGUGUGUGAUGCUCCCCUCCCUAUGUCCAUGUAUUCUCAUUGUUCAACACCCAUCUAUGAGUGAGAACAUGUGGUGUUUGAUUUUCUUUUCUUGUGUCAGUUUGCUGAGAAUGAUGGUUUCCAGGUUCAUCAAUGUCCCUAUAAAGGACAUGAACUCAUCAUUUUUGAUGGCUGCAUAGUAUUCCAUGGUGUCUCUGUGCCACAUUUUCCCUGUCCAGUCUAUCACCAAUGGGCAUUUGGGUUGGUUCCAGGUCUUUGCUAUUGGAAACAGUGCUACAGUGAACAUUCGUGUGCAUGUGUCCUUAUAGUAAAACAAUUUAUAAUCCUCUGGAUAUAUACCCAGUAAUGGGAUUGUUGGGUCAAAUGGAAUUUCUAUUUCUAGGUCGUUGAGGAACUGCCACACUGUCUUCCACAAUGGUUGAACUAAUUUAUACUCCCAGUAACAGUGUAAAAGUGUUCCUAUUUCUCCACAUCCUCUCCAGCAUCUGUUGUCUCCAGAUUUUUUAAUGAUCGCCAUUCUAACUGGCGUGAGGCGGUAUCUCAAUACCACCUCUCAAUAGUUUUGAUUUGCAUUUCUCUAAUGACCAGUGAUGAUGAGCAUUUUUUCAUAUGUGUGUUGGCCUCGUGUACGUCUUCUUUUGUAAACUGUCUGUUCAUAUCCUUUAGCAACUAUUGAAUGGGCUUUUUGUUUUUUUCUUGUAAAUCUGUUUUAGUUCUUUGUAGAUUCUGGAUACCAGCCCUUUGUCAGAGGGGUAGAUUGCAAAAAUUUUUUCCCAUUCUGUUGGUUGCCGAUUCACUCUAAUGACUGUUUCUUUUGCUGUGCAGAAGCUGUGGAGUUUGAUUAGGUCCCAUUUAUCUAUUUUGGCUUUUGUUGCCAAUGCUUUUGGUGUUUUGUUCAUGAAGUCCUUGCCUACGCCUAUGUCCAGAAUGGUUUUGUGUAGAUUUUCUUCUACGGUUUUUAUGGUGUUAGGUCUUAUGUUUAAGUCUUUAAUCCAUCUGGAGUUAAUUUUAGUGUAAGGUGUCAGGAAGGGGUCCAGUUUCUCCUUUCUGCACAUGGCUAGCCAGUUUUCCCAACACCAUUUAUUAAACAGGUACUCCUUUCCCCAUUGCUUAUUUUUGUCAAGUUUCUCAAAGAUCGGAUGGUUGUAGAUGCAUGGUGUUGCCUCUGAGGCCUCCGUUCUGUUCCAUUGGUCUAUAUCUCUGUUUUGGUACCAGUACCAUGCUGUUUUGAUUACUAUAGCCUUGUAGUUAGUUUGAAGUCUGGUAGUGUGAUGCCUCCCACUUUGUUUUUUUUUCUUUUGCUUAGAAUUGACUUGGCUAUGCGGGCUCUCUUGGUUCCAUAUGAAGUUCAUGGUGGUUUUUUACAGUUCUGUGAAGAAGAUCAUUGGUAGCUUGAUGGGGAUAGCAUUGAAUCUGUAAAUUACUUUGGGCAGUAUGAUCAUUUUCAUGAUAUUGAUUCUUUCUAACCAUGAGCAUGGAAUGUUUCUCCAUCUGUUUGUGUCCUCUCUUAUUUUGUUGAGCAGUGGUUUAUAGUUCUUCUUGAAGAGGUCCUUUACAUCUUUUGUUAAUUGUAUUCCCAGGUAUUUUAUUGUCUUUGUAGCAAUUGUGAAUGGCAGUUCAUUCUUGAUUUGGCUCUCUUUAAGUUUGUUAUUAGUGUAUAGGAAUGUUUGUGAUUUUUGCACAUUGAUUUUGUAUCCUGAGACUUUGCUGAAGUUGCUUAUCCAUUUCAGGAGAUUUUGGGCUGAGACGAUGGGGUCUUCUAAAUAUACAAUUAUGUCAUCUGCAGAUAGGGACAAUUUGAAUUCCUCCUUUCCUAUUUGAAUACCCUUUAUUUCUUUUUCUUGCCUGAUUGCUCUGGCUAGAACUUUCAAUACUUUAUUGAACAGGAGUCAUGAGAGAGGGCAUCCUCGUCAAGUGCCAGAUUUCAAAGAGAAAUCUUACAUUUUUUGUCCAUUCAGUAUGAUAUUGGCUACUAGUUUGUCAUAAAUAGCUUUUAUUAUUUUGAGAUACAUUCUGUCAAUACCUAGUUUAUUGAGGGGUUUUGGCAUAAAGGGCUGCUGAAUAUUGUCAAAGGCUUUCCAUGCAUCAAUUGAGAUAAUCAUGUGGUUUUUGUCUUUGGUUCUGUUUAUGUGGUGUAUUACAUUUAUAGACUUGUGCUUGUUGAACCAGCCUUGCAUCCCCGGGAUGAAGCCUACUUGAUCGUGGUGGAUAAGCUUUUUGAUGUGCUGUUGCAAUCGGUUUGCCAGUAUUUUAUUGAAGAUUUUUGCAUCUAUGUUCAUCAUGGAUAUUGGCCUGAAGUUUUCUUUUCUUGCUGAGUCUCUGCCAGGUUUUGGUAUCAGGUUGAUGUUGGUCUCAUAAAUUGAUUUGGGAAGGAUUCCCUCUUUUUGGAUUGUUUGGAAUAGUUUCAGAAGUAGUGGUUAACAGCUCCUCUAGGUAUGUCUGGUAGAAUUUGGCUGUGAACCCAUCUGGACCUGGGCUUUUUUUGUGUGGUAGGCUCUUAAUUGCUGCCUCAACUUCAGACCUUGUUAUUGGUCUAUUCAGGGUUUUGGCUUCUUCCUAGUUUAGGCUUGGGAGGAUGCAAGUGUCCAGGAAUUUACAUUUCUUCCAGGUUUACUAGUUUAUUUGCAUAGAGAUGUUUGUAAUAAUCUCUGAUUAUGGUUUGAAUUUCUGUGGAAUCUGUGGUGAUAUCCCCUUUAUUGUUUUUUAUUGCAUCUAUUUGAUUAUUCUCUUUUCUUUUUUUAUUAAUCUGGCUAGCCGUCUGUCUAUUUUGUUGAUCUUUUCAAAAAACCAGUUCCUGGAUUUAUUGAUUUUUUUGAAGGGUUUUUUUGUGUCUCUCCUUUAGUUCUGCUCUGGUCUUAGUUAUUUCUUGUCUUCUGCUAGGUUUUGAAUUUUUUUGAUCUUGCUCCUCUAGGUCUUUCUAUUUUGAUGAUAGGGUGUCAAUUUUAGAUCUUUCCUUCCUUCUCAUGUGGGCAUUUAUUGCUAUGUAUUUUCCUCUAGACACUGCUUUAAAUGUGUCCCAGAGAUUCUGGUAUGUUGUGUCUUGGUUCUCAUUGGUUUCAAAGAAUAUCUUUAUUUCUGCCUUCAUUUCAUGAUUUAUUCAGUCAUCAUUCAAGAGCCAGUUGUUCAGUUUCCAUGAAGCUGUGCACUUCUGAGUUAGUGUCUGAAUUCUGAGUUCUAACUUGAUUGUGCUGUGGUCUGAGAGACUGUUUGUUAUGAUUUCCAUUGUUUUGCAUUUGCUGAGGAGUGAUUUCCAAGUAUGUGGUAAAUUUUAGAGUAGUUGUGAUGUGGUGCUGAGAAGAACGUAUAUUCUGUGGAUUUGGGGUAGAGAGUUCUGUAGAUGUCUAUUAUAUUUGCUUGUUCCAGGUCUGAGUUAAAGUCCUGGAUAUCCUUGUCAAUUUUCUGUCUUGUUGAUCUGUCUAAUAUUGACAAUGAGACGUUAAAGUCUCCCACUAUUGUAUGGGAGUCUAAGUCUCUUUCUAAGUCAUUAAGAACUUGCUUCAUGUAUCUGGGUGCUCCUGUAUUGGGUGUGUAUACAUUUAGGAUAGUUAGCUCUUCUUGUUGCAUUGAUACUUUUACCAUUAUGUAAUGUCCUUCUUUGUCUCUUUUGAUCUUUGUUGGGUUAAAGUCUAUUUUAUAUGAGAUGGGAGUUGCAACUCCUGGUUUUUUUUUGCUCUCCAUUUGCUUGGUAAAUCUUUCUCUAUCCCUUUAUUUUUAACCUUUGUGUAUCCUUGCAUGUGAGAUGGGUUUCCUGGAUACAGCACAUCGAUGGGUUUUGGCUUUCCAUCCAAUUUGCCAGUCUGUAUCUUUUGAUUGGGGCAUUUAGCCCAUUUACAUUUAGAAUUAAUAUUGUUAUGUGUGAAUUUGAUCCUGCCAUUUUGAUGGUAGCUGGCUGUUUUGCCGAUUAGUUGAUGCAGUUUCUUCAUUGUGUUGAUGCUCUUUACCAUUUGGUAUGUUUUUGGAGUGACUGGUACUGGUUGUUCCUUUCUAUGUUUAGUGUUUCUUUCAGGAGCUCUCGUAAAGCAGGCCUAGUGGUGAUGAAAUCUCGGACUACUUGCUUGUUCACCAAAGAUUUUAUUUUUCCUUCACUUAUGAAGCUUAGUUUGGCUGGAUAUGAAAUUCUGGGUUGAAAGUUCUUUUUUUUAAGGAUGUUGAGUAUUGGCCCCCACUCUCUUCUGGCUUGUAGGGUUUCUGCUGAGAUAUCUGCUGUGAGUCUGAUGGGCUUCCCUUUGUUGGUAACCCGACCUUUCUCUCUAGCUGCCCUUAGCAUUUUCUCCCUCAUUUCAACCCUGGUGAAUCUGAUGAUCAUGAGCUUUAGGGUUGCUCUUCUUGAGGAAUAUCUUUGUGGUGUUCUCUGUAUUUCCUGGACUUGAAUAUUGGCCUCCCUUGCUAGUUUGGGGAAGCUUUCCUGGAUAAUAUCCUGAAGAGUAUUUUCCAGCUUGGAUUCAUUCUCUUUGUCACAUUCAGGUACACCUAUCAAAAGCUGAUUAGGUCUUUUCACAUAGUCCCAUAUUACCUGGAGACUUAGUUGAUUCCUUUUUAACCUUUUUUUUCUAAUCUUGCCUUAUCAUUUUAUUUCGAGUUGAUCUUCGACCUCUGAUAUCUUUUCUUCUGCUUGGUCAAUUUGGCUGUUGAAACUUGUUUAUGCUUCGUGAAGUUCUCGUGUUGUGUUUUUGAGCUCCAUCAAUUCACUUAUAUUCUUCUCUAAGUUGUUUAUUCUCAUUAGUAUUUCCUCAAAUCUUAUUUCAAGGUUCAUAGUUUCUUUGCAUUGGGUUAGGAUGUGUUCUUUUAGCUCACGGAAGUUUCUUAUUACCUACCUUCUGAAGCCUGAUGCUGUCAAUUCAUCACACUUAUUCUCCAUCCAUCCUUGUUCCUUUGCUGGUGAGGAGUUGUGAUCCUUUGUAGGAGGAGAAGAGGUAUUCUGGUUUCAGGUGUUUUCAUCCUUUUUGCGCUGGUUUCUUACCAUCUUUGUGUAUUUAUUCACCUGUCGUCUUUUUAGUUGUUUACUUUCAGAGUGGGUCUCGAGUGGAUGCCUGGUUUGUUGAUGAUGAAGUUAUUUCUUUCUGUUUCUUAGUUUUCCUUCUAACAGUCUGGCCCCUCUGCUGUAGGACUGCUGAGGUCCACUACAGGCCCUGCUUGCCUGGGAAUCACCUGCAGCGGCUGCAGAAUAAUAAGGGUUACUUCCAGUUUCUUCUUCUGCUAUCUUUGUCCCUGAAAGAUACCCGCCUGAUGUCAGUCUGAGCUCUCCUUUAUGAGGUGACUCUUUGCAUAUACGGGGGUCAGAGAGCUGAUUGAGGAAACAGUCUGUCCUUUAUAGGAGCUCAAGUGCUGAGCUGUGAGCUCCAUUGUUCAUUCAGAGCUGCUGGGCAGGUAUGUUUAAGUCUGCUGCAGCAGAACUCAUAAACCCACUUUUUUUUCCCCCAGGUGCUAUGUCCCGGGGAGUUAGGGCUUUAUUGAUGAGUUUCUGUUUUGCUGCUGGCUUUUUUCAGGGCUGCCCUGCCCAGCGAGGAGGCAGCCUAGUCACUGUCUUCCACAUAGGCUUUGCUGAGCUACUGUAGGCUCUGCCCAGCUGCUGUGUGUACUUCCCUGCAGUCCUGUUUAUAUGAGUAUAGUUAGAACUGCCUUGGCAAUGGCAGCCCACCUCUGUAAUUGCUGACUCUCUGUGUAACGGCAGGCUGCCUCAGCAAGGGCUGGCCGCCUCAGCAAUGAUGUAGUGGUGGACUGCCUCAGUAAAGGCGGACAUCCCUCCCCCACAGAGCUGGACCAUCCCGGGUUCAGCUAUGCUUGCUGUGAAACUCUCAAUCCAGGGCAUUUCAGAUUGCUGUUUUUUUGUGGGGGUGGGACCAGCCGAACUUGAUCACCUGGCUCCCUGCCUCAGAACCCUUUUUUUUGAGUUGAAUGGGUGACUGUCCCAGGUGUUCUGGUCACCUGUUGAAAGGUGCCAGGAUCUGUGUGAUUUCACAUGCAGUGACCCACUGCACUGGCUAAAACAGCAGUGCUGAGAUUAGUGGUGCUUUCUUGCCUAGGAAUCUCCUGGCCUGGCUCCCUGUUUCAGUCCCCCUUUUUUUUUUGUCAGUUGAAUGGGUGACUUUCUAUCCCGGGAGCUACAAUCACCAGCUAAAAUGGCACCUGGACCCAUGUAUUUUGUGCAGACAACUGUCUUGCCAGGGCGCCAGCCAAAACAGGCUUGCCGGCCAAGACAGCUGUGCUGGCAACCUGUGGGGCUCCUCCACCUGGGAAUCUCCUGGUCUAUGGGCAAUAAAAAUCCAUCUGGAAAUGCGGCAUCCACUCACCCUCCGCGCUUUCACUGGGAGCCACAAUCCUGAGCUGCUCCUAAUCAGCCAUCUUGGAUCCAUCUCCGGCCAGGUUGAUCUUGAAUUCCUGACCUUGUGAUCCACCUGUCUCGGCUUCCGAAAGUGCUGGGAUUACAGGCAUGAGCCACCAUCCCUGGCCAAUGAUGUGGUUUUAGUCUUUAGUUCUGUUUAUAUGAUGAAUCACAUUUCUUGAUUUGCACAUGUUGAACCAACCUUGCAUCCUAGGAAUUAAGCCUACUUGAUCAUAGUGAAUACGCUUUUUGACAUGGUGCUCAAUUUGGUUUGCCAAUAUUUCAUUGAGGAUUUUUGUGUCCAUGUUCAUCAAUAAUAUUGGCCUGAAGUUUUCAUUUUUUGUUGUCUCUCUUCCAGGUUAUGGUAUCAGGAUGAGACUGGCCUUGUAGAGUGCAUUAGGGAGGAAUCCCUCCUUUUCAAUUUUUGGAAUAGUUUCAAUAGGAAAGAUACCAGCUCUUCUUAGUACAUCUGGUAGAAUUCAGCUGUGAAUCUAUCUGGUCCUGGGCUUUUUUUUUUUCAUGGCGGGGGAGGUUGGUAAAUGGUAGUACUCAAUUUCAGUACUCAUUAUUGGUCGUCUUGGGGAUUCAGUUUCUUCCUGGUUUAGUCUUGGGAGUGUGUAUGUGUCCAGAAAUGUAUCUGUUAGUUCUAGAUAUUCUACUUGUUGUGCAUAGAGGUGUUUAUAAUAUUCUCUGAUGGUUAUUUGUAGUUCUGUGGGUUGAGUGGUAGUAUCCUCAUUGUCUCUGAUUGUGUUUAUUUGAAUCUUCUUUUCUUUCUUCUUUAUUAUUUAGUUAAUGGUCUAUCGCAUUGAUUUUUUUUUUCAGAAAGGAAGCUUCUAUAUUUGUUUAUCAUUUGAAUUUUUUUGGGGUCUUUUUCUCCUUCAGUUCAGCUCUGAUUUUGUUUUUUUCUUGUCUUCUUCUAGCUUUGGGAUUCGUUUGCUCUUGGUUCUCUAGUUCUUUUAGUUGUGAUGUUAGAUUGUUAAAUUGAGGUAUUUGUAAGUUUUUCAUGUCGGUAUUUAGUACUAAAAAUGUCCCAUUUAACACUGCCUUAGCCAUGUCCAAGAGCUUCUGGUAUGUUGUGCUUUUAUAGUUAGUUCUUGUUGAAUAGAAAUAAGAGAAAUAAGAUCUUUUUCAGAAAAGCAAAGGCUGAGAGAAUUUGUUACCACCAGACCUGCCUUAUAAGAGCUGCUGAUGGAAGUAUGGAAAGAAACUAAGUAUGGAAAGAAAAGACCAUUAGCAUCCAUUACAAAGCGCACAGAAGUACAUAGAUCAGGCACGCUAUAAAGCAACCACAUAAAAAAGUCUACAAAUAGCCAGUUGAUAAAGGGUGUAAAUACAGUCCUUACCAUUGUGUAAUGCCCAUCUUUGUAUUUUUUAAAAAAACCUUUGUUGUUUUAAAGUCUGUUUUUUUUUUUUUUUUUUUUUUUUUUCAGAAAGUAGGAUAGUAGCCCCUGCUCUUUUCUGUUUUCCAUUUCCUUGGUAGAUUUUCCUCCAUCCCUUUAUUUUGUGCCUAUGUAUGACACUGCAUGUGAGAUGGGUCUCUUAAAGACACCAUACCAAUGAGUCUUGGUCCUUUAUCCAGCUUUCCACUCUGUGUCUUUUAUUUAAGGCAUUAAGCCCAUUUACAUUUAAGGUUAGUAUUGAAAAUGUGUUGAUUCGUUCCUGUCCUCGUGUCAUUAGCUAGUUAUUACAGACUUGUUUAUGUGGUUGCUUUAUAGUGUACCUGGUCUGUGUACUUCAGUGUGUUUUGCAGUGGCUGCUAAUGUUCUCUCCUUUCCAUAUUUCGUGCUCUUGUAAGGCAGGUUUAGUAAUAAUGAAGUCCCUCAGCAUUUGCUUGUCUGGAAAGGAUCUUAUUUCUCCUUCAUAAGAAGCUUAGUUUGGCCAGAUAAGAAAUUUUGAGUUGUAAUUUUUUUCAUUAAGAAUGUUGAAAUAUUGGCCCGCUUGUCUCUUUUGGCUUAUAGGGUUUCCAAUGAAACUUUCAAUGUUAGUCUGAUGGACUUCCCUCUGUAGGUGACCUGGCAUUUAUUUCUCACUGCCCUUAACAUUUUUCUUUUUCAUUUCAACCCUGGAGAGCUGAAGCCAACUGGGAUAGAAGCAGACCCCAGCACAGCACAAUUUUUCUAUGGAAGUGUGACCAGACUGCUUCUUUUAGCAAGUCCCCAAUCCUAUUUCUCCUGCUUAGGUGAGACCUCCCAACUGGGGUACUCAGUCUCCUCUUAUAGGUGCAUUUGGGCUGGCAACGGGUCCAUACCUCCUUGGUACAGAGCUCUUAGUGGAAGGGGAAGGCUGCCGUCUUUCCUGUUUCUCAGCCUUCACUGCUGAUACCUCCAGGUACCCAAAAAUUUGAGGUGCCUAGGGACUAGACCAAAUGAAGUCCCAGCAAACCACAGCAACCAUAUGGAAAAGUUGCCAAUUUGUAUUAAAAAAAAAUCCAAAGGUCAGCAACCUGAAUGAUUGAAGGUAGAUAAGCCCACAAAGAUGAGAAAGAAUCAGUGCAAGACACUGAAAGCUAAAAAAAGCCAGAGUACACUCUUUCUUCCCAAUGACUCUCAUUACCUCUCCAGCAAGGGUUCAGAACUGGGCUGAGGCUGAGAUGGCUGAAAUGACAGAAAUAAAAUUCAGAAUAUGGGUAUAAACGAACUUCACUGAGCUAAAGGAGUAUGUUGGAAGCAAAUGCAAGGAAACUAAAUAUGAUAAAACAUUGCAGGAGACAACAGACAAAAUCUCCAGUAUAGAGAAGAAUGUAACCAACCUAACAGAGCUGAAAAACACACUAUAAGAAUUCCAUAAUGCAAUCACAAGUAUUAAUAGUGGAAUAGAACAGGCAUAGUAAAAAAUCUCAGAGCUUAAAGACUGUCUCUCUGAAUUAAGUCAGGCAGAUAAGAACAGAGAAAAAAGAAUAAAAAGGAAUGAAGAAAACCUUGAAAAAACAUGGGAAUUUAUAACUGAUUUGUACCUGAAAAUGCUGGGAAGAAUGGAACUAAUUUCGAAAACAUAAUUCAGGAUAUCUUCCAUGAGAACUUUCCCAACCUAGCUAGACAGGGCAGUGUUCAAAUUCAGUAAAUUCAGAGAACCCCAGUUAAAUAUUCCUAAGACAUAUAAUUUUACUUUUUUCUUUAGAAAACCUUAUAGAAUAUACUAACUAUUCUAAGUUGCUUUACAAAUAGUUAUUCUUUAAGAAUCCUGUGAAAUUGGUAAAGUUAUUUUAUUCCUUUUACAAAUCACACAGAAUUAUGUAAGAUGUCCAAGGUAACAGCUAGUAAGUGGAAUAGGUAGGAUUUUUCUGCCUCUAGUUCUUGAGUAAUAGCAUCAUUAACCUUUUCUAGAAUUAACUUACUAUUUCUUAGUAGUUGAUUAAUAACUGUUUCUAAAGAAAGCAUAGUGUAAGUUAAGUAAAAUUAGGUUUUAGAAAACAUUUUACAAGAAAAUUCUAUCCUAGACAAUUUCUCUGAUGUUUGAGUAUCUUCAUUCAGAUAUCCUAUAGCAAGACUCUCAAGCAAGACCUGAGGUGUUAAUGAAAAAAGAGUGCAUUAAAAGAAUGGCGAACCCAAUGGUAGGGUUAGUCCAUUGAAAACAAUUGGUGCUCAUUUGAGAAAAUGUGUCCAGGAUAAUUUUAGGCAUCAAAUGCAAACAUCAGGAUAUGUGACUCACACACCUUUCAGAAAAGUUGUAGAAUAUUGACAAUGUCAUAGGAUCAACUGAAAGGUAAAGAUAAUUUGUUUGCUUGUACCUUAAAAGAGCUAAAUUAUUGAAAAUGUCUUAGAACACUUAAAGUUUGACAAAAUUUAAAUAUUAUCACAAAUUAAAAGGUCUAUUAUUUGAUCUCCUUUCAUCACUUACUUUAAAUUGUCAGAAACUUAUGUAAAAACUGGAAUUCUAGGAGUUCUAAGAAGGAUAACGGAUUGAGCUGAUUGCUUUCCUGAAACACUCUCUGAAAAGGACAAAAAGAACCAAAGAUAGAGGCGUAAGCUUUAGCCAUAAAUGAUACAAUAGCAGUGACUUUUGCUCCAUUACCUUUAUGGAAAAGAUUAUUUUCUAGAUAGUCUUGUCAUGAGCUCUUUGGGGGUUGCUUUUCUGGCUGGAAACCUGUGGCUGGUGGCACCUUUGCCCAAAUUUUACUUGGGCCUGCUGGGCUCAUUCAACCCACUCAGCCUGGUAGGCUGCGCUCACCUCAUGCUACCAGCCUUGAUCCCAUGCCUCCCAGGGAGACUGCAAGCCAAGCAUGGAGUGGGGAAGAGUGUAUGAGUGAUCAUGGGGUCCAGCCACUGUGCAGUCAGACUUGUCUACUGCUGUCACAGGGCAGGCAGCCCCAGGUGCUGACAUGGUCUCCAGCUCUCUGCAAGGGUGCAGCUAGACCCAGUGCAAGGCAAGCAGCUUCCCCAGCUGGUACCAGGGAGUGCGGUGGCACCCAGAAGCUUAUAGACACCAUGAACCACAGGACCCCAAAGAGGGAGUCACAGUCCUGGCUCUGGGAACUCGUAGGUCUAGUUUCCCCAAAUGGCCACAGCUCUUGUCUCCUUCUCUUUGCUUGGAAUGUGGCAAGCAAGGGGCAUGUUUCAGCCCUGUUAGUAUUAAAGCACGUUUAGCCCUGCCAUUUGGUGGGUUCCAAGUUCUUGUCCUGCGACCAGCAAGAAUGAGGUACACAGACAAAUGAAGGGUGACCAAGAGGAAGAGGAGCUUUUUGGAGUGAUAGAACACUCAGAGAGAGAGGAACUCAAGAUGGCGCUGUGAGAACAACCCAGGAUUGAAGCUCUCGCUUCAUCCGCGGAGAGGUGAGUCAGAGCUGCAUUUUCAGACUGAUCUUUGUUGCCUACAGAAUGGGGAAAUUCCCAAGUAUAAAGGAGACGUGGGACACCAGGCAGAGGCUCUGCAUGGAGAAGCCGGCAGCCGGGGUGGCGGCGGCCGGCCCUACCCAGCGAUCCCCACAGGGCGCGCUUGUCCGGGUGCCCUGUUGAAACAGCAACCUGAGACUUGAGAGGGCUGAACUUGAGACUGAAAGGGACUUGGGCAGUGGGCCAGCCCAGGGGAUUGCAGGGACACAGCAUUCGGGAUAGCGCAGUGGGACAGACAAAACGGCGAUUCCAAAUGCUCGCCGUGGAGACGGUCCCUGAGGCACUCUGUCGGGGAGGGGCGUCCACCAUUACCGAGGCAACCCUCCCCGACUGAGACACAUGCCCACUGCUGACGCAACCUGCAGUUGCCGAGGCAACCCGCCCCUACUGAGAUACACGCCCACUGCUGACGCAGCCUGCCAUUGCCGAGGCAACCUGCUACAACAGAGAGACUCCGCUGCAGGGCGUAGCCCAUGGCGGAGACCGCAGCAGAAGAGCAAGAGCCUGCAGCAACAGGGCGAACUUCACAACAGCAGGGCGGAGCCUUGGCAGUCAAAUAGUGAUUAGACUGCCUCCUAGCUGGGCAGGACACCUCAACAGACAUCCAAAAACAAAGCCCAAACCCCCCAUGACAGAGCAUUUGAGAAAAAAAGGGGUUUUUUAAUGAGCUCUGUUGCAACAGAAUAAAACAUAGGAGCCUAACAGCCCGGAAUGAACAACAGAGCUCAGUACAUGAGCUCCUAUAAAGUACAGAUUGUCUCCUCAAGCAGCCCUGACCCCUCUAUAUCCAAAAGACUGACAUUUGGCAGGCAUCAUCCUGGGACAAAGAUAGCAGAAAAAGAAACUGGUAGCAUCCCUCACUGUUCCGCAGCUGCUAUAGGUGCACCCCAGACAAGCAGGGCCUGGAGUGGACCUCAGCAGUUGUACAGCGAAGGGGCUAGACUGGAAGAAGGAAAACCAAAUAACAGAAAUACUUCAUCACCAACAAUCUGGGUGUCCACUAAGAGACCCAAUCGAAAAGUCAGCAACUAUGCAGACGACAAGUGGAUAAAUCCACAAAGAUGGGAAGAAACCAGCGCAAAAAGGAGGAAAACACCCGAAACCAGAACACCUCGCCUCCUAGAAAGGACCAAAAGUCCUCACCAGCAAGGGAACAAAGCUGGACGGAGAAUGAGGGUGAUGAAAUGACAGAAUUAGACUUCAGAAGGUGGAUAAUGAGAAACUUUUGUGAGCUAAAAGAACAUGUAUUAAAUCAAUGCAAAGAAACUAAGAACCCUGAAAAAAGAUAUGAAAAAAGAUUUGAGGAAAUGAUGACAAGAAUGGAUAACGUAGAGAGGAAUAUGAAUGAAUUAAAGGAGUUGAAAAACACAAUACGAGAACUUCGCGAAGCGUGCACAAGUUUCAAUAGCCGAAUUGACCAAGCAGAAGAAAGAAUAUAUGAAGUCAAAGAUCAACUCAAUGAAAUAAAACGAGAAACCAAGAUCAGAGAAAAAAGCACAAAAAGGAAUGAACAAAGUCUCCAAGAAAUGUGGGACUAUGUGAAAAGACCUAACCUAAGUUUGAUAGCUGUACCAGAAGGGGACGAAGAGAAUGAAUCCAAGCUGGAAAAUAACUCUUCAGGACAUCAUCCAGGAAAAUUUCCCCCACCUAGCAAGACAGGUCAACACUCAAAUGCAGGAAAUACAGAAAUACACCACAAAGAUAUUCCACAAGAAGAGCAACCCCAAGGCACAUAAUCGUCAGAUUCAACAAGGUUGAAAUGAAGGAGAAAAUACUAUGGGCAGCCAGAGAGAAAGGUCGGGUCACCCACAAAGGGAAGCCCAUCAGACUCACAGCAGAUCUCUCGGCAGAAACACUACAAGCCAGAAGAGAGUGGGGGCCAAUAUUCAACAUUCUUAAAGAAAAGAACUUUCAACCCAGAAUUUCAUAUCCAGCCAAACUGAGCUUCAGAACUGAAGGAAAAAUAAAAUCCUUUGCGAACAAGCAAGUGCUCAGAGAUUUUUGUCACUACCAGACCUGCUUUACAAGAGCUCCUAAAAGAGGCACUACACAUAGAAAGGAACAACCAGUACCAGCCAUUCCAAAAUCACACUAAAUGCUAGAGAGCAUCAACAUAAUGAAGAAUCUACAACAACUAACGGACAAAACGGCCACUUAGCAUCAAAAUGGCAGUAUCAAAUUCACACAUAACAAUAUUAACCCUAAAUGUAAAUGGACUAAAUGCACCAAUCAAAAGACACAGACUGGCAAAUUGGAUAAAAAGCCAAAACCCAUCAGUGUGCUGUAUUCAGGAAACCCAUCUCACAUGCAAGGAUACACAAAGACUCAAAAUAAAGGGAUGGAGGAAGAUUUACCAAGCAAAUGGAGAGCAAAAAAAAGCAGGAGUUGCAAUUCUCAUCUCUGAUAAAAUAGACUUUAAGCAACAAAGAUCAAAAGAGAAAAAGAAGGCCAUUACAUAAUGGUAAAAGGAUCGAUACAACAAGAAGAGCUAACGAUCCUAAACAUAUAUGGACCCAAUACAGGAGCACCCAGAUACAUAAGGUAAGUUCUUAAUGACUUACAAAGAGACUUAGACUCCCACACAGUAAUAGUGGGAGACUUUAACACUCCACUGUCAAAUUAGACAGAUCAACCAGACAGAAAAUCAACAAGGAUACCCAGGGCUUGAACUCAGACCUGGAGCAAGCAAACCUGAUAGACAUUUACAGAACUUUUCACCCCAAAUACACAGAAUAUACAUUCUUCUCAGCACCACAUCACACCUACUCUAAAAUUGACCACAUAAUUGGAAGUAAAGCACUGAUCAGCAAAUGCAAAACAACUGAAAUCAUAACAAACAGUCUCUCAGACCAUAGUGCAAUCAAGUUAGAACUCAGAAUUCAGAAACAGACCCAGAACCGCACAGCUUCACGGAAACUGAACAACUGGCUCUUGAAUAUUGAAAUGAAGGCAGAAAUAAAAAAGUUCUUCGAAACCAAUGAGAACGAAGACACAACAUGCCAGAACCUCUGGGACACAUUUAAAGCAGUCUCUAGAGGAAAGUAUAUAGCAAUAAGUGCCCAUAUGAGGAGAAUGGAGAGAUCCAAAAUUGACACCCUACCGUCAAAAUUGAAAGAGCUAGAGGAGCAAGAUAAAAAAAACUCAAAACCCAGCAGAAGACAAGAAAUAACUAAGAUCAGAGCUGAACUGAAGGAGAUUGAGAUACGAAAAACCCUUAAAAAAAAAAUAAAUAAAUCCAAGAGCUGGUUUUUUGAAAAGAUCAACAAAAUAGACAGACCACUAGCCAGACUGAUUAAAAAGAAAAGAGAGAACAACCAAAUAGAUGCAAUAAAAAAUGAUAAAGGGGAAAUCACCACAGAUUCCACAGAAAUUCAAACCAUCAUCAGAGAAUAUUACAAACAACUCUAUGCACAUAAACUAGUAAACCUGGAAGAAAUGGAUAAAUUCCUGGACUCCUGUGUCCUCCCAAGCCUAAACCAGGAGGAAGCUGAAACUAUGAAUAGACCAAUAACAAGGUCAGAAGUCGAGGCAGCAAUUAAGAGCCUACCACACAGAAAAAGCCCAGGUGCAGACGGGUUCACAGCCGAAUUCUACAAGACACACAAAGAGGAGCUUGUACCAUUUCUUCUGAAACUAUUCCAAAUAAUCCAAAAAGAAGGAAUCCUUCCCAAAUCAUUUUAUGAGACCAAUAUCAUCCUGAUACCAAAACCCGGCAGACCCCCAACAAGAAAAGAAAACUUCAGGCCAAUAUCCAUGAUGAACAUAGAUGCAAAAAUCUUCAAUAAAAUAUUGGCAAGCCGAUUGUAACAGCAAAUCAAAAAACUUAUUCAUCAUGAUCAAGUAGGAUUCAUCCCGGGGAUGCAAGGCUGGUUCAACAUACGCAAGUCUAUCAACGUACUUCACCACAUAAACAGAACCAAAAACAAAAACCACAUGAUUAUCUCAAUUGACGCAGAGAAGGCAUUUGACAAAAUUCAACAGCCCUUUAUGCUAAAAACCCUCAAUAAACUCGGUAUCGAUGGAAUGUAUCUCAAAGUAAUAAAAGCUCUUUAUGACAAACCAACCGCCAAUAUCAUACUGAAUGGGCAAAAACUGGAAGCAUUCCCUUUGAAAUCCGGCACUAGACAAGGAUGCCCUCUCUCAGCACUCCUAUUCAAUAUGGUACUGGAAGUUCUAGCCAGAGCAAUCAGGCAAGGAAAAGAAAUAAAGGGUAUUCAAAUAGGAAAGGUGGAAGCCAAAUUGUCUCUAUUUGCAGACGACAUGAUAGUAUACCUAGAAGACCCCAUCGCCUCAGCCCAAAAACUCCUGAAACUGAUAAGCAACUUCAGCAAAGUCUCAUUAUAUAAUGUCAAUGUGCAAAAAUCACAAGCAUUCGUCUACACCAAUAACAGACUUAAAGAAAGCCAAAUCAGAAACGAACUGCCAUUCACAAUUGCUACCAAAAGAAUAAAAUACCUUGGAAUACAACUCACAAGGAACGUAAGAGACCUCUUCAAGGAGAACUACAAACUACUGCUCAACGAAAUCAGAGAGGACACAAACAGAUGGAGAAACAUUCCAUGUUCAUGGUUAGGAAGAAUUAAUAUUGUGAAAAUGGUUAUACUGCCCAAAGUAAUUUACAGAAUCAACGCUAUCCCCAUCAAGCUACCAUUGACUUUCUUCACAGAACUGGAAAAAACCACCAUGAACUUCAUAUGGAACCAAAAGAGAGCCCGCAUAGCCAAAUCAAUUCUAAGCAAAAAGAACACAGCGGGGGGCAUCACACUACCGGAUUUCAAACUAUACUACAAGGCUACAGUAAUCAAAACAGCAUGAUACUGGUACCAAAACAGAGAUACAGACCAAUGGAACAAAACAGAGGCACCAGAGGCAACACAACAUAUCUACAACUAUGCAAUCUUUGAUAAACCUGAUAAAAACAAGCAAUGGGGAAAAGAUUCCCUAUUUAACAAAUGGUGUUGGGAAAACUGGCUAGCUAUGUGCAGAAAGCAGAAACUGGACCCCUUCCUGACACCUUACACUAAAAUUAACUCCAGAUGGAUUAAAGACUUAAACAUAAGACCUGGCACCAUAAAAACCCUAGAAGGAAAUCUAGGCCAAACUAUCCAGGACAUAGGAGUAGGCAAGGACUUCAUGACCAAAACACCAAAAGCAUUGGCAGCAAAAGUCAAAAUAGACAAAUGGGUCCUAAUGAAACUCCAUAGCUUCUGCAUGGCAAAAGAAACAGUCACUAGAGUGGAUCGGCAACCAACAGAAUGGGAAAAAAUUUUUGCAGUUUACCCAUGUGACAAAGGGCUGAUAUCCAGAAUUUACAAAUAACUCAAACAGAUUUACAGGAAAGAAACAGACAAGCCCAUUCAAAAGUGGCAAAGGAUAUGAACAGACACUUUACGAAAGAAGACAUAUAUGAGGCCAGUAAUCAUAUGAAAAAAUGCUCAUCAUCACUGGUCAUCAGAGAGAUGCAAAUCAAAAUCACAUUGAGAUACCAUCUCACGCCAGUUAGAAUGGCGAUCAUUAAAAAAUCUGGAGACAACAGAUGCUGGAGAGGAUGUGGAGAAAAAGGAACACUUUUACACUGUUGGUGGGAGUGUAAAUUAGUCCAACCAUUGUGGAAGACAGUGUGGCGAUUCCUCAAGGCCUUAGAAAUAGAAAUUCCAUUUGACCCAGCAAUCCCAUUACUGGGUAUAUACCCAAAGGGCAAUACAUCAUUCUAUAAGGACACAUGCACACGAAUGUUUAUUGUAGCACUGUUUACAAUAGCAAAGACCUGGAAUCAACCCAAAUGCCCAUUGAUGAUAGACUGGAUUGAUAACAUGUGGCACAUAUACACCAUGGAAUAUUAUGCAGCAAUCAGAAAUGAUGAGUUCGUGUCGUUUGUAGGGACAUGGAUGAAUCUGGAGAACAUCAUUCUCAGCAAACUGACACAGGAAUAGAAAAUGAAACACCGCAUAUUCUCACUCAUAGGUGGGUGAUGAAAAAUGAGAACACAUGGACACAGAAAGGGGAGUACUAAACACUGGGGUCUAUUGGGGGGAAAGGGGAGGGCCAGUGGGAGGGGGAGGAGGGGAGGGAUAGCCUGGGGAGAAAUGCCAAAUGUGGAUGAAGGGGUGAAAGCAAACAAAACACACUGCCAUGUGUGUACCUAUGCAACUGUAUUGCAUGCUCUGCACAUGUACCCCAAAACCUAAAAUGCAAUUAAAAAAAAAAAAAAGGAACACUCAGAGAUCCACAGGGUACAUCUCAUUUCCAUAGCCAUGGUGACCUGUGGAGCGUUAAGCUCCUAGGAGUGGUAGCGCCUCUUUGCAGGCAGGUCAUCCCAAUACGUCUCAGCUGCCAACAGAGAGGGUAGCUCCUCUCUUCAGUUGGUUGUCCCGUUGUAGGUGUGGCCUCACCAGCGACUCGCCCCUUCCACCCAGGAUCCUCUCUGUGCCCUGCUGGCGACCAUGGUGCCCAGGCUGCUCAGGCUGCUUGGGCCAGGGGUCACCUGCAAGCCAGUGCUGAGUUCAUCUCAACCCCUGCUCAAGUUCCCCCCAAUGCUUGUUGGUGCUCAAAGUCCAGAGGGGGUUGAGGCAGCAGGGGGAUGGCAUGUCAGUGCUGCCUCAAGCAUCCACAUAUCCUGCUGGGCUAUGACAGUGCCUGUGCUUAGCCCCAAUCACACUCCAAGUUGGGAGUGGGCACCAGGAAUGGCGAGAGGCCAGGCAAUGGGAGAAGACACCCCUGAGGCUGUGCGGACAGUGGGGGCCUUCCCGGGUUCCUGAGUGUGCAGAGUGCACAGACACCCAGGUCCUGCACUUAUGAGGUUGGGGCUCCUGUCUGCUCUGUGGAGCAUGCUGGCAGCUCUGGCCAUGCUUCCUUUCAGCUCGGGCAGGGUCUCAAAGUCCUCACUGGGCCCCUGUCUGCCUAUUCCUCUGUGCCCAACCUUGCUGCUCCCCUGCCAGUGGGUGUGUUGGCCAGGCCCCAUCACUGUGGCCACCGGGGCAGCUGGCUCCAGGGGGCUCCCACUUGUCUUUUGCUCCUUCAAGUUCUGUGAAACAUGGUACUGUCCCAGGCUCAGCUGUGCCAACCCCAUUCUCCCUCCCUGCGGUGACAACUGGCAAUGAGGGUCUGGAGUGGCGAAGGGUCUGGAGUGACGGAGGCUCUGGGCCUAGGAACCUGUCCCAUCCAGCUGCACGAGGGUGGUGGCAGUGCACUUGGCUGCCUCAGGGAUGUGGGGCACAGGGGAUCUACUGCUGCUAUUGCUGCCUCCGCAGCCACUCCUGCUGCCACAGCUUGCACCUCCUCCCUGCAGCUGGAGUGAUGGCAGUGGCCACUCUGGACAGCCUGCCCCUGCCAUCAUUGAUAAUAUUUGAACUAAAUUAAAGUUAGAUGUCCAGUGCUGAUACAUGUAUCCCUAAAUUAAGAAAGAACUUACCAGUAACAGUUAACUGGGAAAUAAGAGCACUAGGGAUAUGAGUGGCAAAUAGCAAAUUGGGACUAAUAGGAGAGUUCAGGUCUGAUGGAGGAUCAUGUUGUACUCUAUUUUUCUUAUCCUAAUACCUUACUGUGGAAAAAUCCUUCGAAUGAUGCUGCUGCCUCUGUAAUGGGCAAUGCCUAACAUCUAAGAAAACUACUCUAUGGAGCAUGGCAUGGUCUCAGAACAAAUGAGUCAUCCAAUUUAAUAAGAAAAUAUUUGGAGACACUAUAUUUGACUUUAGGUCAUCCCUACUAUAUUCACUCUUCUACUUCCCUCUACCUUCUUUUGAGAGCAUCUGAAGGAUGAAUAGAUGUUAUAUCCAAUCAAUUCUAGCUUUACAGCUCAUGUUAUAGAAGUAUGUUUGAAAAGUUACUUGAUAAGUAGAGAAAUUCAAUCACACUAAUCAUAAAAAAUAGAUACUUAAACUCCCCUCUUCUAAUAUAAAUGACAACUUCAGACCAGUAUAUGAGUACUACCAAAAAGAAAUUAGAUAAAUGAAAACACAAAGGCAAAUAAGGAAAAUAUUUUGAAAAAAGAACUAUUUGGGGAAAUGAAGAACAUUUUAAGAAAAAUUUUCAACAGGAGAUAAAAUGAUCAUAGGCUUUAUGAUAAGAGAUCAAGGAAGAGAUUUAAGAGAUCAAGAUAUAGAUAAAAGGAUACUAAGUAAGGUUAGAAAAGAUUUGGCAGAUGGGGAUGAGCAAAGCUAUCAAAAAUCAUUAAAACCACAUUAGAUCCAGGAAGAUGUAGAGUGAAUAAUGUAGCAGAUGUUCUUAAUGAGUUGGAGGAAAUAGUUCAGAAAAAAUCACACAAAAUGUAGUGAGGUAGAAAUGAAAAACUACUUGGUGGAAAUGUUAUCGAUAUAAAGGGAAAGCUAUCCCUGAAAUUAAAACUGCAGUCUGUAGAUUGAGAGGGUUUACUAAAUACCAGGAAAACAUAACAAAGACUGAACGACAGACUUUUAGGAUUUAAAACAUUUCAUAAGCAUGACGAGACUAAGAAAAACGUCACCUACAAUGUUUUUAAAAAUGAAGUUGGUCUCAUAUUUUCUUCUCAGACUUCAAGUGAUGGUAUGAUAUCUAUAGAGUAUUGAAGAAAAAUAGGUGAAAUUUUAAAAAGUAAGAAAUUAUAGCUUUUAUGAUCUGUUUCUAAAAGCAUAUAGAAGGUAAAGCAAAAGAAGGAAUGCAUAAAUGGCAAAAUUACCAUCUAGCAGGAUUGGUGAUGAACAUGUUACACAUGAAAUCAGAUAGACUAGGAAAAAGGGAUGUAAUACUGGAAUUCUUAAAUAGAAGAUAAUUUGAUGAUAGUUAACUGAGACAAAAAGUUCAGAAAGAACUGCAAUAUGUAGAUUUGUGGAGAGGGGUUGAAGGGAAGAUCAUAUUAAUAUGCUGAUUGCUUCAUCUUUCUUAGGACAGUUUGUUUUGGAUGUAUAUAAAUGGAAAAAUGCUGGUUAUGCAUACUAUUGUAUUUAAUCAAUUCUAAGAAGCAUUUCUGAAAUUAGAAUAUGUCUUCUAAUCAAUAAUAACAUAAUCAUAAUUGUCACCCUAUUUUUUUCAAGAUCAUUUAAAAAUAAUAAAGCAUCGUAUAGUUAAUGACAUUUUAGAGUGCUUUAAAUAUAGAUUUUAAAUACAUAAAGCCCUCACUAAUAGACCUAAAACCUGACAAUUGCAUGUAUUUUCUAAGUUAAUAAUUGAAGGGAAGAAGGGGAAAUUUCAAAACUAAUAAAAUCCAGGCCAUAAAGCAAAAGAUAGAAAACAAAAUAAACAGUAGGUAAGGAGGCAAUAGAAAAUAAGAGUUAAGAACUCAAAAUGUGAAGUCAGAAUAACUUGUGUUCAAAUUGUGAUGCUAUGUUCUCACUUAUAAGUGGGAGCUAAAUGUUGAGAACACAAGGACACGUAGAGGAGACCAACACACACUGGGGCCCAUAGGAGGGAGGAGGGUAGGAGGAGGGAGAGAUUCAGGAAAAAAUAACUAAUGGGUACUAGGCUUAACACGUGGGUGAUGAAAUAAUCUGUACCAGAAACCCCCAUGACACAAGUUUACCUAUGUAACAAACCUGCACAUUUACCCCUGAACUUAAAAGUUAAAAAAGUGUGGUGCUAUUAAAUAUGGAGAUAUAGUCAGCAAAUUAUAUAUGUAUCAGUAAUCCUGACAAUUAGAUAUGUUUCUAUUUCAUAAUUGUUUAAUCAUAAAAUUCAUAUUAAUAGACGAAGAAGUCAAACAGAGCUACAAUUAGAGUCAUGUAUCAAGGAAAAUUUAUAGCCUCAGUUUUUCUAGUUUUAAUCUAGUAAGAAUGCAAAACAAAUAAGUUUUUAAAAAAUCAGCAGGAAAAGGAAAGCAACAGAAAUUGAUAGUAAAAACUAUUAAUCUAUGGUUAAAUAUCAACUUAUUAUAUUUAAGAACUUGUUCUCUGAUAUAAAAGUCAGUAGUAGUUGGGGAAAUGAAGAAAGCUGAAAAUAUACAAAAUUGUGGAUAAAAAUUGGGAGAUGACUUAAAAUACAGAGCAAAUUAAAAGAAUGCCACAAUUUUGCACAAGUUUUAUAUGUACUAAAAUUUGAAAAUGUAGAUGCAAUGGAAGACUUUCUAGGGAAUUUAAAACGGGUUUAAAAGGAGAUAGAAAAAUCUAAUCAGAAAAAAAGCAUAAUGGAAAGAGUAAAACAGUCAAGGAGCUUAUCUACCUCUACCUAUUAAUUACAUCUUCUGGACGGCUUCACAGAUGAAUUUUGUGUAAAUUAUCAAGAAAUAUGUAAUAUUAACUUAUGAUAUAUUAAAACUCUCCCCCAAUCAUCAAUAUAGAAGGCAAAAAUACCAGUUACAUUUAUUAGACAACAUAAUAUUGAUACAAAAACCUAACAUUGAAAAGACAAAAACAAUCUGCAGGUCAAUCUUGUACAAUAUUGAUGAGAAUCAUCUUAGAAAAUGUAGCAAAUGCAAUUCAGCAGUGUAUGAAAAGAAUAUAUUCUGCCAAAAGAGGUUCAUUCCUGGAAUGCUGAGUUACUUCAAUAAAAUUCUCAGCAAUGUGUAAUGAAGAAAUAAAAAGAUUAAAUUUUCAGUAC